CUCUUCAUGAUGACUUGUUGUUGUUGCUGCAGCUGCUGGUGUUCUUGUUAUUGUUGUUGUUGUUGUUAUUAUUAUUGUUAUUGGGGUCGCGGGGUUGGAGGUGGGUGGAGUCUGAAUGUCUCCCCGCCCCUUCCUGAAAGCCGAAACUUAGAAAACUUCGCUUUGCUGGGUUGACUAAGCCUUCAUUCUUGGUUCUGGUUAUAUAUAUCUAUAUAUAUAUAGAUAUAGAUAUAGAUAUAUAGAAACAGCUUGUAUUUGGGGGACAAAAAGGACAAAACAAACAGCAAUGAAACCAAAUGAGGCGUUAAGUUUACAGUAGUAGUUGCAUGGCAUGGUAAUUUGGAAGGCUCUGCUUUUCCGCAAGCAAUCAUUUUUCCAUGUCUUUUCUUUUUUAUACUUGGUGAAAUGGUUGAGAACAAACUGAUUGAAGCUUUUGGUUGUCUCUUGCGAUGUCAUCAACCACAAUGCUGCCACAUUACUGCUAUAUUAAUGAGACAUCACCAUUCACUUAACCAAAUUGGCCUGUGAGACUUGAUUGCAACAAUCAAGAAAGUAUGAGCUAGAAAUUGCGGCUAUUAUUGUUUGGGGACCAAAGUGUCACCUGCCUCAUAGUUUGAGGACCAAAAGUGUAAUUUAGCUUUAUUUUAUCUAUCAACCCUUGGAACAGGCAUUAAUUUUCCUAUCUCAGCACUCUGUUGGAAGGUCUGCUGUUUUGCAGGCAACCUUGUUCUGUCAUUUGUGAUGCCUCUUGAUGUGAACGAAUGGCAGGUCGGAGCCUCUCUGUCCUUCUACUUUCUUUUCACUGUUGAUAUUUCUCAUGCUGACCGUCCAUAUGUCCUCAAUCCUCUUGCUGACUGUAUGCUUCAACCGGAAGGCCCUUACUGUUUCAUGCAAUAUUAAGGAAGUGUUUUUCCUUCGUUGUACUUGUCAAAGGAGGCUGUGAUGAUUGCCACUUGGGAAUGCACCUCAACUUCUUUAAUCCUUGCUUUGGAUUCUCGGCGGAGUGCAGAAGCUGACCAAAAUACUAGGUAUAAGAGAGUCAACUCAAACCUGAGACCUUGGUUGGGUUUUGACAGUUCGGGUGGGAUUUGAAUCUUUUUUUUUUUUUUAAUUUUAUAUUUUAGUCCUUUUACACCCCUUGAGAGGCCUUUACGUGGUUCAUUUGUGGGAUAGACGGCAUCUCAGUGGAUGGCUUUUGGCUGACAUGAUCACCUGGUGUAGGCUAUAAUUUUUCCUUUCUCAGCAGCUCAUAUAACCAACAUUAAGUACCUGUAGCAGGACUUAAAUUGGAAGGUCUACUGUCUUGGAUGCAACAUUUUGCUGUCGUGUCUUUAAGGUGCAGAAGAUUGCAAGAUCCCUUGCGAGAUGAUUAAGUGGCAAAUCUGAGCCUCCAUUUUCUUCUCCUACUUUCUUUUUAGCUAUUAGGAUUCGGUGGUACAUUAUUUAUUUUUCCCAUUUUUUCUUUUCCUCCUCUGGCCUUCUUACUGCAUGUAGAACCUAGGUGGGUUGUUUUCACAUAUUCCUUAUCUACUUCCUGAAAUGUGACACUCUACUUCAUGCUGGUUGAUGCUAAAUCAUUUAUCCUGUAUGUCUUCAGAUUUAGGCAACUUGUUAGUCUUUUAGAUUUUGAAAAGAACUAAAAACAGAUAAAGAUACGGAUGUUUGGCAUGUAUAUCUGUAUAUUUGUAUGCUGAUUCAAAUGUGGGUAUCCAACAUACUUGUAUAUCUACUUUUCCAUUUCUCUUCUUGAUGCCUUGUUGUUGUUGCUGCUGCUGCUGUUGUUAUUCUUGUUAUUAUUAUUACUGUUGUUAUUGUUAUUGUGGUCGCAAUGGUGGUGGUAGAGGUGGGUGGAGUAUCGCCUCUCCGUGUCACGCCCCGAAACCGCUAUCAAUUUGGUCCGGCUCGGGCGCGUCGAACAGACGCCGAACGGACAGAACCUCCCCUCCAUUCUAGGCUCAACAACAAGAUCAUGUACGUUUUUGUCGCCCAGGAUGACAUACAACAUACAUGAACAGUACGAAGCACCGCAAGUGCUACACAAUUAAGAGCAAGACACAAGUAAUAAAAUGAGUGGUAUAAAGAGAGUAACAUCUAGCUAUUACAUCCACAAGGCAUUCAACAUUUAGAUCCUUGAUUAUAUUUACGUCUCCAAAAUGAAUAUUCAUGAUAAUCUCCAAAAUACCCUAGCAAUCUCCCAAAAUACAUCAUAUGUCACGGGGUGCACGAGGGUACACUAAUGCAAGUGGAAGCUGCUAACUAUACCUAGGGCGCGAUGCUCUUACCACGAUCCUCUGCCGGUGCUCUCUCGCUAGGCCCUGCAACAAAGUGGGGUGAGAACUAUAUAAAUAUAGUUCCCAGUGGGUUCGGCCGCCGACUCCGCCGAUCUUCCCACUAGGUCUAAGCAGGCAUAAGCAGAUAGAUAUCUGUAACUGUAAUUGAUGCAUAUAGAAGGAAUUGCAAGAUUCUACUAUGCCUGGAGAACAAGAGUAAAUCACAUAGCCAUGUAAUCUCUAACAUGCUAUAAUAACUCUAUCAAGUAUACAUGCAAUUCUACUAUGCCCAGCAUGCUCAACAUACUCAAUAUGCUUACUAUGCUCAAUAUGCAUAAUUCUCUUGAGUUCAUCACCCAAUCAUCUGGCUAGCCCAAAGGCGCGCCCUCGACUCACAACUCAAAUCCGUCUAUGAAGGGGGACUCGAACCACUCGAGGGAUUGUCUGCGGGACCCCACAUAGGCUAUCCCUUGGGACCCCACAUAGGCUAUCUCAAUCGUUUCACGUGCCAAGACUCCGAAACUCGCACUACUUGUGCGGAGCGACCGCCACAAGCGCUGAACAGACUGUGUGAGUAUAAUCAAAUUCGUUUCCAACGAAGGUACCCGGUCACUACGACCUACAUGCACAAGUGUUCUUUUAACACUACGUUCUAAUGCCACUCGUCAAGUUGUUUACUUGGUAUACAUAUGACACUCGUCAAGUAUGUACUUGGUUCACAUGUCACUUGCCAUAAUGCAAUUGUCCCGACUAUACUAGUCAUAUAUCCGCUAUGCAAGAUCAAGUUAUUGUCUAACUUAUCUCUAUAGGGUUCUAUGUCACAAACUCAUUCUCAUGCACCCUAAGUUCACAUGCCAAGCCUACUAUGUCGCAAUACAAGGGAGCAUGCAAGAAUAGUAAAAGUAACAUCUAAAUACCCUAACAUGCAUGAUACUAUAUAUGUAGUAUGUUCAACAUAGAAAUACUUAGACAUAGGGAGAAGCCCAGUUGCUUCGGGAUGACACCCCCCACCUCUUGGUGAUGUCCUGAAGUUACGAUUCCGUUUCCAAGAUUUUUGGAAGCUUUCGCCGCAAGUUGCGGCAAUCUGUACCCUAACGGCUUCGUUCUUUAAUAUCUUCGCGUACGCUCGUCGUAUCGCCGAACCGAUUUCGCCAACGCGUCAGAAAAUCUAGCAAUUAGGUUUAUACAUGAUCAAUUUAGAUCAAAACCUCACAUAUCGAAAAAUUCUAUUUUUGAGCCCUAACAUGCAAUUACCCCCAAAUAAUCCAAAUUAAAUGGAGCAACAUGCUAAGAAUGCUCAUUAGAGGCUACUAGAAUACUUAAAGUUAAGGAUUAAGCCAAAUCCCAAAAGUUUACCAAAAUGUGAACGCCGAGACGGAAGCACGCCGCUCCAACGGGCGCACGAAAGCUCGAUCCGUCGCUCCCGACGCGUUCGCAAGCUCGUUCUCCGCCAACGCCGCGAAUUUGGGCGAAAGAUCUAGAGAGAUGAGAGAGUUAUUUAGAGAGAGAAAGUGAGGAUUUCUCUCACUACCACCAUGAACAUGUGCUUGUGGGGGUGGUGCUUGGCUGUGAAGAAGAAGCCAAGUCACUAGAAGCUUCUACUUAUAUAGUCAACACCCCAAUAUAGUCAACACCCCAAUAGUAGCAUACACUAUUCACUUCAGGCAGUUCGAAAUCUGAUAUCUUUCGCCGGAGCCCUCUGAAUAUCCGUUUGAGCUCAAAUUUGACAGUCAUGUUCGGAUUUGCUUAACUUAACGAAAGAAAUUUUAAUCUUUCAGUUUCGACCUCGUUUGGUCACCGAAAGCCGUACCGAACUGUAAUCUUUAUCAGAUCACUAUCGGAUUUUAUUUUUCACCUUCCGGAUGUCAGAAUGAUAUGAAACUUUAAAUCUAGCCUCAUAAAAAUAAUUUUGGCUUAUCCUCCAGUUUUCAGAAUUUUCUGACACUGCAUUUUCUGCUAAUUUAUCUGCCCCGUUUCACACAGAAAAUUCUAAAUCUUCUGUUUUCGCUCUGAUUUCAACACGGGUCAUUCCAGACUUAUAUUUUAUGUCUAUAAGUCCAAUAAAAUAGUAUCUCACACUAUUUUUAUUUAUAUUUAUUUUUAUAUUAAAAUUUCAGCAUAUUACAUCCCACCGUAACUUCAUAAUUUAAGAAGUUCGGUACCUUACAAUCCGCCCCUUCCUGAUGGGGGAAACCCACAAAAAUUUGCUUUUCGGGUUGACCAAGCCUUCAUUCUUGGUUCUGGUUCUAUAUAUAUAUAUAUAUACAUACAAACUGUUUGUAUAUAGAGGAAAAAAGAAAAAGAAAAAAGCAACAAAACCAAAUGAAGCCUUAUUAAGGUUUCAGUGGUAGGUGCAUGGCAUGGCAAUUUUGGAAGGCUCCGCUUUUCUGCGAGCAACCAGUUGUCCAUGUGUUGCCUUGCUUAGAUUUGCCGAAAUGGCUGAGAACAAACAAAUUGAAGCUUUCGAUGGGUCUCUUGGUUGUCAUCAACCACAAUACUGCUGCAUUACUGCUACUUUAGUGAGACCACCAUUUACUCAACAAAAUUGGCCUAUGAGACGAUUGCUACAAUCAAGAAAUUUUCGAGCCAGAAACUGCAAGUAUUAUAGUUUUGAGGACCAAAGUGUCAUCUGGAUCAUAGUUUGAGCACCAAAGUGCAAUUUAACCUUAUUUUAUCAAACGAACCAAGGAACAGGCAAUAAUUGUCCAUCUCACCUGCCUGUGGCAGUACUCAAUUGGAACUCAAUUGGAAGGUCUGUUGUUUUGCAGGCAACCUUGUUCCAUCAUUUAUCUUAAAGGUGCAUAAGAAUACACGAUGCCUCUUGAUAUGAUUGAAUGACAGGUCAGAGCCAACUUCUUUCAUACUCUCUUUUGUUAUACUUGUCAAAGGAGGCCGUGAUGAUUGCCACUGGGGAAUGCACCUCAGCUUCUUUAGUCCUUGCUUUUGAUUUUUCGUUGGAGUGCAGAAGCUGACCAAAAUACUAGGUAUAAGAGAGUCAACUCAAACCUGAGACCUUGGUUGGGUUUUGACAGUUCAGGUGGGAUUUGAAUCUGGUUUUUUUUGGUUAUUUUGGUUCUUUUACACCCCUUGAGACGCCUUUGCAUGGUUCAUUUGUUGGAUAGACAGCAUCUCAGUGGAUGGCUUUUGGCUGACAUGAUCACCUGGUGCAGGCUAUAAUUUUUCCUUUCUCAGCAGCUCAUAUGUGACCAACAUUAGGUACCUGUAGCAGGACUUAAAUUGGAAGGUCCACUGUCUUGGAUGCAACCUUUUGCUGUCGUGUCUUUAAGGUGCAGAAAAUUACAAGAUCCCUUGCGAGAUGAUUAAGCGGCAUAUCUGAGCCUCCGUUUUCUUCUCCUACUUUCUUUUUAGCUAUUAGGAUUUGGUGCUACAUUCUUUAUUUUUCCUUUUUUUUCUUUUCCUCCUCUGACCUUCUUACUGCAUGUAGAACCUAGGUGGGUUGUUUUCAAAUAUUCCUUAUCUACUUCCUGAAACAUGACACCAUACUUCAUGCUGGUUGAUGCUAAAUCAUUUAUCCUGUAUGUCUUCAGAUUUGAGGCAACGUGUUAGUCUUUCAGAUUUUGAAAAGAACUAAAAACGGAAUAAAGAUUCGGAUGUUUGGCAUAUAUAUCUGUAUACUUGUAUGCUGAUUCAAAUGUGGGUAUCCAACAUACAUGUGUAUCUACUUUUCCAUCUCUCUUCUUGAUGCCUUGUUGUUGAUGCUGCUGCUGCUGUUGUUAUUAUUAUUAUUAUUUUUGUUAUUAUUAUGGUCGCAGUGGUGGUGGUGGAGGUGGGUGGAGUCUAUCGUCUCUCCACCCCUUCCUAGGGAACCCACGAAACUUUUCUUUUCGGGGUUGACCAAGCCUUCAUUCUUGGUUCUGGUUAUAUACAUACAUACAAACAUUUUGUAUAUAGAGGAAAAAAGAAAAAGAAAGGAAAAAAAAAGCAACAAUAACAACGAUACCAAAUGAAGCCUUAAGGUUUCAGUAGUAGGUGCAUGGCAUGGUUAUUUUGGAAGGUUCUGCUUUUCUGAGAGCAACCAAUUUUCCAUGUGUUGUCUUGCUUAGACUUGCCGAAAUGGCUGAGAACAAACAAAUUGAAGCUUUCGCUGGGUAUCUUGGGAUGUCAUCAACCAUAAUACUGCUAUGGUAGUGAGACAUCACCAUUUACUCGACCAAAUUGGCCUGCGAGACGAUUGCAACAAUCAAGAAAGUUCAAGCCAGAAAUUGCCAGUAUUAUAUUUUUGAGGACCAAAUUGUCAUCUGCCUCAUAGUUUGAGCACCAAAAGUGUAAUUUAGCCUUAUUUUGUCUAACAAACCACAGACACAAAACAGGCAAUAAUUUUCCUAUUUCACCUAUGUAAUACACUGGAUCUUAGCAAAUUGCAAGAUUCGAGUGUUUGAUCUGUGUGUGGAGCCUUUCCACAGUUUUUGGAGGGUCGUUGAUAGUGUUCCGACCCCUGGCACGCACCCCGAGGAUGUUGGUUUGAGACUUGGCACCAAAAUUUCAAAAUUGAAAUUUUUAGUCAGCUCUCGGAUAGCCUGCAGCAGAGCUUGUACCGGAACAAGAUUGGUCUUGUACCGGUACAAGGUUGAUGGUUGUACCGGUACAGCCAUCGGGCUUGUACCGGUACAGAGCCGCAGACUCCGCAACCCGAGCCUCGGGUUUGCAUUUUCGCAGGGCUUGUACCGGUACAAGGGCCCGUGUACCGGUACAAGGUGGCUGAUUGUGUGCAGUUUGAUACUGCAGGGGGUUUUUCGCGAUUGUAGCCUAUCUAUAUCAGCCCCCACGCCUUUAGGGACUCUCCCUGAGCUGAGACCAGCAGGAGUUGAGGUAGGAGGAACUCUCUUCUUUCCUUUGCAUUUUUACUCCUUUUGCUUGGUUUUUAUUGGAUUUUCUCUCCUCUAUUUGCAUCUUGGUGGCUUCUCCACCAUUGUUGAUGGCUUAAAGCUUGGAGAGGAGCUAGUGGCCGCGGAGAUCUUCAACGUCACUUGGAUUGGAGCUAAGUUUGGAACUUCUUGAGAGGUCAGAGACUUGAUUUCUCCCUUUGAUCCUUGAUUUGAGGUUUUUGUGAGAUCAAACCCUAGAAAUGAAAAUUUAGGGUUUAUUUGGGCAUUUUCGUUUUAGGGCUUUUGAGGCUCAAUCUCUUGGAUUAGAGCCUUCCUCUAGGGUAGAUUGGAGGGGUUCUAACUCUCAUUUGGAGCUUGAGAGGAGAUCUUUGCAUUUGAGGUGAGUUUUCCUCACCUAUGCUUGCAUAGCUUAUAGAUUGAGCUUAGCAUCAUUCGUUUCAUUUAGGUGACACUUGUUUUCAUACCUCUAGGAUACUAGGAGGUUAGAGGACACCUUCGUCGGAGCAAACGAAGGGCUUCGUUUACCGUUGGUGGUUUUGACUUCAUGAAAACGGGGCGAAAUGGCCCCUAUGCCUCCUAAACUCUUCGUAAAGUAUUUUUAAAUUCAUUUCUAUGCUAAAUAGAAUUUAUAUGAAUUUUUGAGCACUUAAAAUGCAUGCCUUGUGUAUUAUGAAGAAUUUCACUAUAUAGUAGAGCUAUAUGAGUAGAAUGCAUGCAUACGGGAAAAGUGUUUAUUUUGCAAGUGGAAAAUACAUCUCUUAUGAGGAGUAUGACUUGGGACAUGUACUUUGGAACAUAGUUGCCAUGCUUGGACAUAGAGAACAAGAGUGUCAUCAAGGGGCACUUGAAACUAGUAAACUAUUAAAUUGCAAUAUAGAGACAUAUUGAUAGGCCACUACAUAUCUGCUAUAUUCCAUGUUAGAGACAUGAUGACAUAGAGAUAGGCCACUGAGAUACUUGAUAUAUAUUCCAUGUUGNUUUAGCCUUAUUUUGUCUAACAAACCACAGAACAGGCAAUAAUUUUCCUAUUUCACCUACCUGUGGCAGCACUCAAUUGGAACUCAAUUGGAUGGUCUGCUGUUUUGCAGGCAACCUUGUUCCAUCAUUUAUCUUAAAGGUGCAUAAGAAUACAUGAUGCCUGGAUAUGAUCGGAUGGCAGGUCAGAGCCUCUCUUUCCUUGUGCUUUCCUUUCAGCUAUUAAUAUUUCUCAUGCUGACUGUUCAUAUGUCCUCAUUCUGACCGUAUACUUCAAUCAGACCGGCGCUUAAUGUUUCAUUCAAUCUUAAGGAAGUGUUUCUCCUUCAUUUUACUUGUCAAAGGAGGCUGUGAUGAUUGCCAGUUGGGAAUGCACCUCAACUUCUUUUAUCCUCUCUAUUGAUUCUCGGUGGUGUAAAAGCUGAUCGAAAUACGGGAUAUAGGAGGCAAUAUAGUUAGCUCAAUCCUUAGAUCUUGGUUGUGUUUUGAUAAUUCGGGUGGGAUUUGAAUCCAGUUUGUUGGUUAGUUUUGUCAUUUUGCUUCCCUUGAGAGCCUUUCGCUUCGUUAAUUCGUGGGAUAGACAGCAUCUCAGUGGGUGGCUUUUGGCUGACAUGAUUCACCGGGUGCAGGCAAUAAUUAUUCCUUUCUCAGCAGCUCAUCAGGCCAACAGUAGCUCCUGUAGCAGUAGUUAAAUUGGAAGGUCUGCUGUCUUGCAGGCAACCUUAUGCUGUUCAUAUCUUUAAGGUGCAUAAGAUUACGAGAUCCCGAUCCCUCAUGAGGUGAUUGAAUGGCAAAUCCGAGCCUCCAUUUUAUUCUCCUAGUUCCUUCUUAGUUAUUAAGAUUUAGUGGUACAGUAAUUUUUUUGUAGCUAUUAAUAUUUAAUGGUACACAAUUUUUCUGUUUUAUCUUUAAUUUCUCAUCCUCUGGCUUUCUUACUGCAUGUAGAAUCUAGGAUGGGUUGUUUCAAACAUUCAUUAUCAAUCCCCUGAAACCCUACUUCGUGCUGGUAGAUGAUGACUAGAUAGAAGUUUGGGGGGUCUAUUUCAAAAUGGUCUAUAGUUGAGGGGAUCUUUAUCCUAUUUAUCCUCUCAAUAUAUCUGAUGGUGAAAAGGUGUUGAUAGUCCCUGUCGUGUCCCAAUACUGUCCCAAUAUUGUGACUUAGUCCUUGAACCUUUUCAAUAACACUCCUCUCUUUCAUCUUUCUUAUAUUCUUGGAAUUUCAUCUCUCCCAUCUCUUUGGUUCAUAUGUUGCAGGCAAAAUCUCUCAUUAGAACUCUGCAUUGUAAUUUAAUUACUAGAGAGGAUUGGCAGGCGCGUGAUCAGUAAUUAGAGGCAGCUCUGGAUGGUCUGCUGUUCUGCAGGCAACCUAGCUUGUACCCAUUUAUCCGGUCAUGGCUGGGGUGGAGGAGGUGGUGGUAGUGAUAAGGAUUGGAUGUAUGUGGGUUCAUAUGAUCCUCUUCUCUGAUUAGGGUAUCACCAUUGCUAUCUUCGCGGCACUCACUUAUUCUCUUGAUCAAAGUUCCUGUAAAGGAUAUCCUUCGUCAUUUACUUCUAUUUCGCAAUUCCUGUUCCUUGAUGUGUUUCGGUAUUUGUGGAAGUUUCUGUUGAUCAUCUUCAAGAGAUGCAGAAUAACCACUUUUGUGGAGUAAAGCUUCUCUCCGCGGUCUUCUGAGAUGUAUACCCAUGAAAUUUUGUGCCUCAGGGUUGAUGAAUGGCUAAAAAUCAAGCUUUUUGAUUUUGAUUGUGCAUUCUUCAUAUGGGUUUAAUUGGUCAGUUAGCUUGGUCCAUUGACACCUCUAAUCUGAGCCAUGCUUCAUUAAUUCAUGGGAUGGAUGACAUUGCCGUUGGUGGUGCAUGUCUGAUCUUGUGCACCGGGUACAGGCCAUAAUUUCUCCUAUCUCUGCAGUCCAUAAGGUCGGCGUUUUGGGGUUCACAUAGCAAUGCUCAAUUGAAAGGUCUGCAUUCUUGCAGGCAACCUUACAAAGUCAUUUGUCUUUAAGGUGCGUAAGACUACAUGAUGCCUCAUGAUAUGAUUGAAUGGCAGAUCUGAGCCUCCCUUUUCUUCUUGUUUCUUUUCAGCUAUUAGGAUUUAUUGUUGUCAUUUUCUUCUUCUCUGUGUUUGUUUCUGCAUGGAGAAGCUAGAUCAUCAAUUCCUAUUCCCUGUACUUUUCAGUGGUUGAUGAUCAGAUUUGAGUUGGUGACUUGGUCGGCUUAUUUCAAGAUGGCCUGUAGUUGAGGGGUCUUCAUACAUUUUACCUUUUUAAUAUGGGUUGGAAUAAGAAUCAGAUAUUAUUUUUCAUCCGAGGCUGGUGAUAUCGGUGACUUUAUCUGAGGAAUAAGAGCUAUUUAUAGUCCCUGUACUAUUCCGAUAUUGUAAUUUGGUCCAAACUACAUCUCCACAACCUUCACUUCGGCACAGGUGUAGUUUCCUAUUAGACCUCUGCAGUGUAAUUCAACCACUACAGAGGUUCCAAGUGUGAUCUAGCAAUGGUGAGGCAGCUAUGGAUGGUCUGCCUUUCCGCAGGCAACCUAGCUGGACCCCUUAAAUCUAAUCAUGAUCUGCCAUGAAGAUAGCAUGCCAGUGUAGCUUCAUCUUUAAGACUCUUCCUCUGUUGAAAGUUUGGAGUGCCAUCUUCGUGGUACAUUUGUUCUCUUGAUCCUGUUAAGAAUACUAGUCCCAUAUUCGAUACUUAAGCUUUUUGGAUUGGUCCGAGACUUUUGGCAUAUCCAACUUCUAGCGAGGGAUAUUUUUAUCUUUUUUUUUUUUUUCAAUUAUUCCAUCUGUCCUUCCUGAUGCCUUUGAUUAUUUGGAGAAGGCGGUAAUGAUUUCUAGCAUGUUGCACAUGAGCUUUCUUCCAAAAUGUUAUGAUUAUUCUAUCCCAGGCUGUAGAAUAUUGAUUUUGCCAAUUGGACGUAGUGGAGGAUGCCGGUCAGCGCGUGUGCGGAGCCUAAAUGAGGUGAAAACGUUUUGGCGCGAAAUGGACGCAAAAACGAAUGAAUAGGGUCAAUCUCUUAUUAUGGAGGACCAAAUCGCAAAUAGACAAAGUUUCGGGCUAAGUUGCAAAAAGGGCAACUUAGUGGAAUUCCACUAAGAGCUCUUAACCUUAUUUUACUGUUCUUUCACUAUUCUGGCCUCCAGUAGACCUAAUGGGAAGAUCGUGGUUAUCGUCGACCGUAUCCACUGGGAACUACUGUUUAGUAGUUCUCACAUCCUUUUGUGGUUUACUUUUGAGGGGUAGGUAUACUGACGGCUGAUCGAGGUGAGGGGGAUCGCGCAGUAGAUACCAUCUCCUACCAGCAUGCCUAGACAUGAGUGGACUACUAGAUAGAGUGCUACUCUGUACUACAUGCAUGUACUGGUGAGGGCCAGGGCUUUUUUUCUUGUACUUUUCUUUUGGGGUUGAGUUUUAUUUGAUAUAGUACAUGAUGUACAGUAGUUUAGUUUGUAGAUAGCGCUCUGAUACUUGUCGUUUGCUUAUUCUGUACUUCAUGUUGAUUCCUGUGUUGUGGAAACUUCUCUAGUGUGACCUCUUGGAAUCCUUUGUCCUGUUCAGUUAUGUUGACGUUUCGUUCAGGCAGGAAAAAACUCUGUUCGUUCGGCGAGUCUGUUGACGUCCCCAUAGGCUUCCGCUGUGGACUUGGGGCGUGACACAGGCUUCCUGAGAUUCAAAGUUUGAAACCCUUGAAAUACUGCUUUAGGUUUCAAAUCUUGGAAGGCUCUGCUUUUCCAGCAGGCAACCAGUUUUGCAUUCAGGGUUCAACCCGUUUUUUCGAAAUUUUUUUUUUUUUUCCCAUAUUAUAUCAUUUCUGACAAAAAGGUUGUAUCCAGUAUUUGAUUUGUGUCCCCAGCUAAGCACUCAUGGUUUCCAACACUGCUCUCCGUUGAAUGUUUGUAUUUGAAUUUGUACUUGGAGAAGUAUGGAAAUAGUCAGUUGCUAUCUGAACAAUAUCCGACCCAUUUUCAUCCCUAGUUAUGUGACAGGUAGUGAUCCUAGUAGAGUCUAGAGACACUGAAGAAGAGAUAUAGUCGUUUCUCACCCUCUAUCAGCGUCUAGAGAGUCUAGAGAGUAAGAGGGAAUCGUUAUCCUGAAAUUUCUUUCCUAAUGUCCAUAUCAGUGUCUCUUUACGUUUUAAUCUUUCUGCUGUGGAAAUCUUAUUUUAGAUUGCUUUACUUCGCUUUCUCGUAUGUCCUGCAUCUAGGUAAUCUUCUUAAUCUAUGUUGUUAGAGCCUUCUUGACUGUCUCUUCUCUCUCUACUUGGGUUCAUCCAUUAACCAGAUAGAAUUGUCCUCUUCUUUUUCUGCAGAAUGUGUUUACCUAAACUAUGAACAAAUGAUAUACAUUUUUUUGUUUUUUCAAUUGACCUCUGAAUAUUGACUUGGUUUCUUUGAUUAAUUAGUUAGUUCACUGCAGUCGGCUUUUUUUUUUUUUUUUUUUUUUUUUUUUUUUUUUUUGGUUUUUGGUUUAUACAUUCUGUUUCCAGCAUAUUUUUUAUAUUAAUGGCUUUACUGUUUACUGUUUUCUGAAUUAGUAUUUUGCAGUUGACAUUUCUCUCGUAUUCCCGUUUCUUUUUAUUAUUUUUGUUAUUAUUGUACCGUUUUGUGUUCUUUCAACAUGCUUGUACAUCUUUCUUCUCUUAUUCUUCUAAUCCCUAGCUACCAUUUUACCAUUGAACCCUGAAUUCUAAACCCUUGGGACAUUGUUUGGUUCAUAAGUGGAGUGAGAAUGGAAAAUAGAAUGACAAACCAUCAACGAAUGUUUGAUUCAUUAUUGACCAAAAUAGUUGUAUAAUUAGGAGGUUCACUUAGAGAGCGGGGGUGUACCGAGUUAUUUAAUAAAAUAUAGUAGAGGACCUACUCGGCAAAAAUAAUAGUUUACGCAGUUAUUUGCAAAAUAACUAAAUUUUAAUUUUUAGGAUGUCUCUGAACAUUUUUUUUUCCUUUAUGAUUUUUUUUUUUUGGCAAUGUUAACUCUACAACGCACCCGUUUUAGACUGUAGAUCUUAUAACUAGAUUAUCCAAAAAGAUAAUCAACUUUGUGCCCUUAAAAAAGAGCUAAUUUCCUCUGUAGCUUUAAAAAAUUAAUAAUUUUUCAUUUACCUUUUAUUUCGAAAAUAUACUCCCGAAAAGAAAAAUUUACAUGCUCCUUUAAAUAUUUGAAAGAAGGAUCAGGUAAAUAUGAAAUUAAUUUUGUAUUGAGGCGUAUAUGAGUAGUGAUAUUAAUGAACACUAAUGUGAUAAUUUUUGUUGAAUUAAUGUUAAAAGUUAAUUAAAAUAAAUAUUACAGAAAAGAAGUUUAGGAGAAAAACCAAAAAUAGGAAAUUACUCCAAAAAUCUCAAAGAAGGAAAAGGAAGGUAAGGAUGUUGUUUCAAAAUAGCUAUUAUUGAGGAGUCUCGACGCUUUUUUGUAUUUGAAAUCAAUGAUUUAAGUGUCUUGGCACGGGAUCGUGCGGAAAUUUGCCGGCACGAUAUGUGCCGAGCCGUGCCGAUGCGUGUCGGUCAAAAAAAUUCUUGCAUGCCGACACAUGGCAACAUGAAAUAUUUAUUUUCUUUAGUAACAAAAUAUUUUAACUAUUUAUUAUAUUUUUUUAUCACAUCUUUUGAACUUUAUUGAGGAAAUUAUUUACUAAUUUAAAGAAUAUAGGGUUUUUAGCUGUGCCAUCGGCACGGGAUCUGUAUCGUGCCGGUAUCUUGUUGGUGCGAUAUGGCACGGUGGAAACGGCCCGUGCCGACGGGUACUUAAAAUCUAGUUCGAAAUGCUGAGUGCACAUGCGGUUGUUACAAAUUAUUUAUAAUUACAAUGUUUUCCACUAUAUCUAAUUAAACAAAUUAUCUAUAUCUAUAUCUCUAUACUUAUACAUUAUUUUCCAUAUAGUCUUGCCACGUAGCGGUCCCUUCUUUAUCUUACCUUCUCCUCUCUUCUCUAAUCACAAUUGUUUCAGCCGCACAAAACCUUUGAUCUUCCAAUCAAUGAACGAUCUUAAACCCACACUCUUCGUUUCCCCACUAAGGAGUUACUAACGCAUUAUUAACUUUAAUAAUUAAUAAUUACGAUGAUCCGCACAAUUAGCACCACUAAAACCCCAUCAUCAUCAUCUCCUCUUUCUCGGAAUCAAAUAUCACACUCUAACAAUGUCCUAUGUUAUAAACCAACUUUUCUAUCUAUUAUUCUUAUUAUUAUUCUCGAACGCGAGGACGAACCCGUCAACGCCAUUCGGGUCGAGCCAUGAUUGUUCAGGCACAUUGUUUGGGUUCAGCGUAUGCUUGGAGUUAGUGGAGGGCGGGGCGAACGGGUCCAAAUCGGGGUUGCUGCUCUGGGUUCGGUCACGUGCUGAGUCGGAGUGUCACGUGCCUCUGUGAGGCCAUACGAGAUAGGCGUACCCGUGAACGUCACCAAAGCUCUCGCUUUGCCCUUGCUUUGUGGGCUCUCCUACACGCCAAUUGUCCUCUGUUACAAAACUAAGAGGUGUAUUUUUUUUUUAUGGUCCAAUUUCACCUGUACAAAUUGCUUUCAUAAGAAAAAAUAAGUAAAAUAAAAUUUUUUUGUACUCUUUUUUUCCCUUUUUUUGGCGCAUAAGAAUGGUUUAUAUUUUGUAAUUUUUUUAAUUUUUUUUAUCUUUUUGUUUUUAAAUUGUAUGUGUACUGAAAUUAGGGUUUUGUGGAUUGUAGAGCAGCAAAGAUAGAUUUGGAGUCAACGAGAGAAAAGAAGUGGAAUCAACGUGGCUGUGACGAAAAGGAGCUCGACAUUGAUAAUGGCGACAAAGGUAAUGUGGAGAUGGGGAUUCGUCUUCCCGAUGUCGGUAGUGAAAUCAAGAUACGUAUGGAGUAAUAAUUCUAUUGCUGCUUCUUUCAUUACUAUUUUUUAUAACUUAUUUAAUGAAAUUAUAAAUUUUGUUACAUUUGUACGUAUAUCUGUUUCAUCUCUUUUAUUUGUAUAUAUGUUAAUAUAUAUUAUUUUUAUUUAUUAAUGUCUUAUGACAAUUCAAAAAAUUUAAAAUUUUUACUUUAUGAAUUUUUUGUCUUUCUAUAGCAUCAAUCCGCCGCAAUGCACGGAUAAUUUCACUAGUAUAUACUUAUAACUGCGGCAUGAGUUGUAAAUCUUAUAUUUCACGAUUUAAAGGCUAAUUGUUACACACUAGUUAUAUCGACAUAAUUUGAUAUAGCUAAUAUGCAGCAUGUAACUCUUAUAAUGAGAUGUAAAAUGUAUACCCAGCUUUUGAGUUUACAGAUUUGUUUGUUAAUUCGCGAAUUAUUCACGAAUUAUUAAAAAUUCAAAUUAAACGGUCCGUUUACGAAUUUUUUUCAAAAAAAAAAAUUAUUAGCGAAUUUUUUGGCCAGCCGAAUAAUUCGCAAAUUAUUUUCGAAUUAUUGAAAAUUUAAAUAAAAAACUUAUAAUUUUUAUGUUUAAAUAUAGAUUAUCUUAUAUUUUAUAUAAAUAUGAGUUCUCUGUUCAUUCUCCCCCCCAAAAAAAAUAUUUAUAUAUAUUUUAUAAUUAAUAAUGGGCUAUUUUAAUCUAUUUCUUGCUUGAUUGUUUAUAUACCAUAGUGUAUAAUAUAAUUCUCUAUAGUUUUUUUUUUUAUUUAAUCUACUUUAUUUUGUAGCUUUUUAUUCUUAGAAUUGUAAAUGUUUACAAUAGUAGUAUAAAUCUAGAAAAAAAAUUGAAGUUUAAUAGGCAAAUUUUUUAUCCCGAAUUUUUAAUUGAUGAACGUAUAAUUUUCGUAUAAAUCACGUAUCCGAAUAAUUACCAAAUCCAUUUUUUAAGUCGAAUUUUUUAACAAAUUAAAAAAAUUAAAAAACGAAUUUUAUACGUAUUAUAACCGUACCGAAUUUUUUCCGAAUCCGAAUUAACUAACUAUGGUUUAAAGGUAGCAAUGCUCUUUUCAUACAUCCUACUUUCGUUUGAUUUAGCCCAUUUUCUAGUAAUACAAUAAAUCCUUCUAGAAAAUAACUUGGAACUAUAUUACAUUUUAAGAGAGUCUGAGACUUAUGCUGGGUUUAUUCCGAAAAAGUUAAAUUGGAGGUUUGGGUUUCAAAACUAUUGAACCUUCUUUUCAAAACAACUUAGAAUAUUUUAGGUAAAGAUAAUACUCUUGUUUUUGAAUUUACAAUAUCAUGUUUUCAUUCUUUAGAAUUUUUUUUUUCAUCGGUCAACUUUGUUUAUUUAAUGUACCCAAAAAUAAUCUUUGAAAAAUAUAAAAUAUGGUAUGUCAUAUUUGACAGUUGUUGACAUGAACGCAUUCUUAAUUGAAAACGAGUUUAUUUCAGUUCAUUAAAAAUUGCUCAAUCUUACAAUCUUUGUGUUAUUCUAUCAUGAAUUCAACUUUGGAGUUAUUUUAUCAUGAGAUUGUUCUGAUUAACUUUUGCUUUUAUUGUUAUCCAUAUUAAUAUUCACAUUUAUUAAUUUCCUCUAUGAAAGUCUUAGAAAAGAGAAAUUUCGCACUUUCUUUACUCUGAGACAUUUUAUUUAGAUAUUUACAAGCAAAUAUACAUUAAGGGUGUGUUUGGUUCGCAUUAUGAAAGAUAACUAGGAAUAAAAGAUAUCCUAGAAUUUUAUUCCUAUUCAUCCUAUUACUAAGAAUGUGGAAUUCAUGUGUUUGGUUUGCACGGUAAUAUUAAUUAGCCAUAUUAUUUAAUAUUACAAAAAAUAUACAAUUUAUUUAUUUAUUUAUUUAUUUAAUUUUAGAUAAUGUUACCAAAAAUUUCAACAUCUUUUUAGAAAAAAAGAAGAGAGAGUAUAAAUUAGAGAGAGAGCGCAUAAUUAAAAAAAUAGAAAGAAAAAUAUAGUCGAAAUUAGAGGAAGUGAGAGAGUUGAAAUUUUAGAAAAAGAGAGAGAGAGCAAGCUUAGUUUAGAGAGAGAAAAAAAAGUUGAAUUUUAGAGAGAAAAAUAAGUUUAGAGAGAGAUAUAAUGUUAGAGUAUAAAAAAAAAUAAUAUCAAUUAGCCGGCGGAUAGGAAGAAAGAAAGAGAUUAGACAUAUUAUGAUUACCUCAAUCCAUUAAUAAAAGGAUAUCCAUCCUCCUCAAGGGAAUGAGAUUAGUACUUUGGGGUGAAUCUUAUUCCUAAGUGAAUCCAAUAUUACCAACUAGAUUACUUAGUGCGUUUAGCCAAACACUGUCAUAUUUUUUUAUUCCCAUUGGAUUACUAGGAAUCUUUAAAACAUAGCGCGAACCAAACGCACCCUAAGAUUAUUGCACUAACAUUGGGUACAUUAAACUUGAUAGAAUACUUUUCUACUACUUUACUCUUAGAACUAGUUGAAAUCUAAUUGACCAAAUCCUAAUUGUUUUAGAUUGAUGGGCCUGGUUGCAAUUCAAAUAAAUUUGUAGAAUACUUUUGUUUAUUUUAUGUCCUGCUCUGAUGGGAUAUUUACUAGUGAUGUGCAACAAUUUUGGAAUAUCUAACUACAACUAUGGAUUCAGACUGACUUGUGUCCAGUUAUGGGUCAGAACUGUUUUGGGUUUUGAUUUUGUGUCUAACUAUGUAUCAAAACUUAACUGGGUCUUAGCUUUAGAUCUGAUUUUUGAGUCUAAUUAUGGGUCAAAACUAAAUUUGCCUUUGAUUUCUGAUCUACUUAUGGAUCAGAAUAAAUUAUAAUUACAUCUAAUUAAGAUUUGAAUGAUUCUAAUAAACGGCCAGAACUGAAAAAGCACUAGUUAUGAGUCUAAUUAGUUAGAGAUUUUACUUAAUGAGAAUCCUAUUUUGCUAAAACUAAGUUAGUGUUUUUCACCUUCUUUAUUCGAAUAAUAAGAUUAUUCUCUAUGAUUUGAAAGCCUAUAUAUUAGCAAAUUAAACAAAGAAAUAAAAAAUUAUAUAAAACAUUACAUAUAAUAAUAAAAUUCUUUCACAUCAAUAUAUAUUGUUUAAAACAAAUUUCACAUACAAAUAAUAUACUAAAUAUGCAUAUUCCACAAAUUAAAAAAACUAAUUAUUUUCAACUACGUAUGCGCCAAUUGCUAUUGCCAUGCGACUCAAAAGUUCGCGCUUUACUUUUGCAUAGCCGUCCGUUCCCCAAUGACUACCCCAAGAGUUUUUUAUCAAAUAAUAUUUGACGUCGUUUUCUACACCGUAUCCAACUAUAGUCACGGAGUGGCUCCCUCGUUUUUUUUCUCCAACAUGAGGACCCAUAUACACAACCUACAUGGAAAAAAAAAAUAGUCAUUAUCAAAUUAAAAAAAGGUCAUUAUCAAAUAUUAUAUUAUCAAAAGUUAAUUAAAAUUUAUAAGUAUUAGCAUAUAAAAAAUUAUUCAUUAUUAAAUAUUAUAUAUCAAAACUUAAAUUUAUAAAUACUAACAUCUCUCGGUAGAUGAGUAAAGCUGUUAUAUAUGUUUAUGGCAGCAGCAAUAGGUCGUUCUCUCAAAAUUUCUUCGAUUUCUCCCUCAUUAUGUCUUCUUUCCAAUUUGCUCUGAAAAUCUUGAAUCUUCACUCUCUGCUUCUUCUGUAAAAAAUAUUUAAAAUUAUCCAAUAAUUAAUAGAUGUAUUAAUACUAAAUAAGUUUUUUUAGUGUAUAAGUUAACUUACAUCUUCAUUCAUUUGACAAUAUUGGCGUCGUGCAACAUAUGGAUUAUCAGCUUCCAUGGCAAUACCAUAUGUUUUGAUGUACUCUAAACACUUGCUAUGUGUGCACUGUAUACAUCCAACGGCGUCUAUAUGUUGUUCACGGGAAGAUGGAUACAUUUCAUGAUAACAGUUUACUAGCUCUUGUUUUGAUAAUUCAAUGAGUUGACCAUACUUUUUUGCAUAUUCUGCUUCAACUAAAGUGGUGGAAGAAAAGGCAUAGCAACAUUCUUCGUAUAAUUCAUUAAAGAAAAAAAACAUUAGUUAAUAAAACAAUAAUGAAUUGUAUUAAUCUCUACAAAAAAUCAUUCUAUUAAGUAUACUUACGACACUCUCUUUGAUUUCCUACGUCCUCCCGAAUUAUAUUAAUUGGCUUGUCGUAAAUCAAAAGAUGCCUAUCAUAUUAAAACAAAGAUAUGAAAAUGAGAAUUAAGAAAAUAAGUAAUUUCUAUAUAUCAAAUAAAAAGUAUAAUCUAUGAUAAUUUUUGUUAUUUGAUAACUUUUUUAUUGGAAAAUUAGGAUAUUCGCUUAUUUUAACGAACUUAGUUUAUUUUACAAAAUUCAUUUGCAAAUAGCUCGAGGUAAAUUAAUUAAAGAAAAUUUAGUAGAAUUAAAAUUAUUAAAAUAUUAGUUGGUAAAUCAAAACUUAAACUAGAUUAAAACUAAUCCUAUUUUAAAUAGGUUUCAUAUAUAUAUAUAUAUAGCUAACGACUCAAAAUUCUUUUGAGUUAUUACCAUGUUAGUGUGGGUUGCGAGGUGGAGUUAGAAACAGACCCAAUAAAAAUAAUCUUAUCUAUCAAAAAAAUGCACUAUAUAAUUUACAAAGUGCAUGGUUAUGUGGGAGUGAGAUUCUCUUCUCACACUUUCAUUGGAUAAAAAUGUGUGAAAGUACUAUUAUACAUGAGAUUUGCAUUGAUACUUUGGCAGCCAGACUAACUAAAUUUAAAUUAUAUUAAUUACCUAAGGUCUCGUUUGGCAUGCAUUGUUGCUGGUUAUAAGAUUAUCAAGAAAAUGCACUUUGUGAUUUACAAAGUAGUUCAAUGUGGGAGAGAGGUUCUCUUCUCACACUUUUAUUGGAUAAAAAUGUGUGAAGUACUAUUAUACAUGAGAUUUGCAUUGAUACUUUAGUGACAAACUAAUGAAACUUAAAUUAAUUAAUUAAGUAAGGUCUUGUUUGGCAUGAAUUGUUGCUUCUCGUUUGGCAUGCAUUAAUUUGUUGCUAGUUUUUACUUUCUUAAAUAUAUAAAAAUUUUAUGUCAAAAACUAUAAGAUUAAAUGAUGUACUACAUGUAUAUGACUUUUGCAUUGCAAGUUAAACAAAUCAUGAUAAGAAAAGAAAAAUCAUCCUACAGAAAUCAAAUUAAGCAUAUGAAAAUAUAUUGUGUUUGAAAAAAAAAAUUAAAAUAAUAUAAAAUAAAAUCUAAAAUAUUUUACUAUAUGCACCGUCUAAUUGAGUAGCUGAUAAAAUUUAAAGAUAACAAUUUAUCACUACUCUAUAAAAAAAUAAAUAUUUUGAAGAAAAUGUGUAUAAUACUAGCAUUCACGUACGGGAUUUGCAUGGGACCAUGGGUACUUCUCCCACCGUCUAAAUUUGAGUAACUAGAGAUAACUAAAGAAUACACAUGCACGUUAACUACUUAGCUUGAGUUAAUUGAGUGAGCUAUUUUUACGUAUUAGCUAAAUUGGUUCAUGAUUCACUUGUGAGGCCUCUUUGGAGAAAUUGUUGCCUGCAACCAACAUAUAAUGAUGCAUGCAUUAGUGGAAGAAUCUAUGCUUUUAGAUGGAUGAGAUGUAUAAGUUGUGAACCUAACAUAUAUAAGUUGCAUUGCUCAUAAAACCAAGUAAUAAUUUCACAAAAAGUUCAAAAAUUGGUAGUACAAUUAAUGUACCUAAUUUUAAAGUUCAAAUGCGCGCACCAGAAUCUUUUAAAAUUUUGCUCAAUCAUCCAAACUUUAAAAGUUUCUUAUUUGUCAUCCAGAACUUUCAAUUCUUUAACAUUUAACUACUUACUUUAUACUUUGUUAAUUUAAACUGACUGACAAUACCUAAAUGGUCAAGAAACAAUAAACAACACAUGCCAAAGCUAUAGAAAGGAAUUUUUUUUUUUUUUUUUUCCAAUGAUGGAAUUUAGUUUUACAGUAAAAAACAUAUUUUUUAUUAUUAACUAUUAAAAAUUAUAGUGAUAUUCUCAGCAAAAGAAAUAUUAAUGAAGUGUGUUUUUUUUUUUUAUUAUUUCUUGAUCAUUUGGCUAAUUAAUAUUAUAGAAACCUUAAAUAUACAAAAUAUUGGAAAUACGUUCUAGGUGAUAAAUAUAUAAUUUCUGUAGUUACAGAUGGUUAUGUGCAUCAGACUGAAAGUGGAAGUGCAAUCAACCCCUAUUUUCAGACCAAACUUUCCAUGAAUAAAUAGAUAGUUUUAAAAUUUUUACAGUAGUAGUACAUCCAUAUAUACUAGUUAAGGACCCAUGCGAAUGCCGCGAUAUAAAAUAUUCUAAUCAUAAAAUUUAGUUAAUUUUUAUUUUUUAUAAAAAUUUAUUAGCUUGUUUUUUUAAUUAAAUAAGUAAUAAUUAAAUUAAUUUAAAUAAAAAUAACUUAAGUUAGUACAUAUACGACAUAAAUUUUUAUAUUAGAUUAUUAGUGAUCAUCUCGUUAAUAACUACAAAUGUAUAAGUGAAUGUGUUAAAUUAUUAAGCUAAUUACAACACAAUUUAUUAUUUUGUAAAGGUAUGUGUAUCAACUAGGAUUCAAACUAGGAACUUCGGGUAUCAAGUAACAAGUCAUUUGCUGCUUGCGCUAGGGACGGUCGAUAAUGACCUCUCAUAGUUGAAGAGGAGAGUUAGGGUGACACAUGUUUUAUGUGCUUUCCUUAACUCUCCUUUCAGAUAUUACUGGUGAAGGCAUCCACAUGUUACAGUGGAUUGGUACGGCAGAAAUAAAUAAAUAAAUAAAGCUAAAGAAAGAAAAAAUAAUAAAAAAAAGAGUCAAAGAAUAAAAAUAAAAACAAACUAAAAAAGAAGCAGCAACUAUUGCAGUAAAAGUAUAAGAAUAAAAGUAUAAGAAAAGUAAUAAAAAAAAAAAAAGAAUAAAGGCAAAAUAAUAAGAAUAAUAAAUUCAAUUUAUAGCAUCAGUGAAAGUUGAGAAUUAAAAUGUCAUAUGCCUGAGAGUUUGAUUCAGAAAUUGUAACUAAUUAAAGCUUGAGAACUAAUAAUUUGAGCAAGAAAUAAUAAAGCAUUAAAGUUUGAAAAUUAAAGUAUUACGGAUUCUAUAAUUUGAGUAAGAAUUAAUAGCGGCCAUUUGAUAAUCGCCGUUAUCAAAUUAUCGCUAAAUUAUUAUUUUAUUGUAGUGACUGUACUCAUAUAUUUUGUCUUGAAUGAGAAUUCUUUUUAUUUUGGAAGGAUGUUGCAUUCGAUGUGCGAAAAAAUUUCGAGCCCGCUAAUCCCGUGGCGCGUCUUGCCACUCUGGCUCGUUGCCGUCACAUCCUGUCGAGGGAACAAGAAACCGGCAGAUCGCGGAGUUUGCCCACUUUCUCUUUCUCCCUUUCUCCCUAUCUGACUAUUAGGGGUGGAAACGAGCCGAGCUCGAGCGAGCUUAUGUCAGCUGCCGAGCAAGCUUAAUCCGAGCUUUUCGAGCUUAUAUAUAUAUACAUAUAUAUAUCAUCCCGAUAACACGAUAAUCCUCGUGUUGUUUGGAACACAAGGAUUCAAGAAUUGACAGGUAGUUUAAACUAACUACCAAUCCCACUUUCUCUCUUCUCUUUAACUUCUUUUCUUUAAAAGAAGUUAAAGAGAAGAGAGAAAGUGGGAUUGGUGGGUAGUUUAAACUACCCGCCAACUCUUGAAUCCUCGUGUUCCCAUCGGGAUGAGAUAUAUAUAUAUAUAUAUAUAUAUAUAUAUAUAUAUAUUACAUAAAAUUAAUAUAUAUCCAAAAUUAAAUUAAACCCGACAAUAACAACCGAGUAUUUUAUUUGGGUUGUUCAUGUUGGCACGUUAACUCGGGUUGAGUGUUAAAUAUAUUGUGUGAGAGAAAAAGUCUGAAAGUGACAACGUGUAUUGGGAUUUUGCACUAUUGUAAGUUUAAAGGUUUAGGGAUUAAAAAAAGGGGGGGAGAGAGAGAGAAGAGAGAGAGAGUCUGGGAGUGGGUCAAUCCGCCAGUGGGAUCGAGUGUAAAGAACGUUAAUAAAAUAUAAAACUUGAUAACCUGUACAACGUAGUUUAACAUCCAUUACAAGAUAUUUUUAAUUUGAUGACUAAUAUAUUACAGUUCUUAAAGUUAGCCGAGCAAAUCUCGAGCUCGAGCCGAGCUGAGCUUUAAUCCGAGCGAGCUCGAGCGGAGCUUAAUUAAAGUUCAGCUCGAACUCGGAUCUAAAUCCGAGCCUUAAUUAAAGUUCGGCUUAAACNCUCUCCCCCUCUCUCUCGCACGCCACUCUCUCUCUCUCUCUCUCUCUCUCUCUCGCACGAACACCUAUCAUCUUCUAUUGCGCCGUCCUCCCAGGUAAUCAUCACGAUCUCCUUCCCUCCAUUCGUCAUUUCUGUAAAAAAUAAUAUUCAAAUGACCACAACAAGGGUAAUUUUGAAAAAAACUAUACUUUUAUGUCAGGAUUACUAAAUUUUAUAAACUGAACCAAACGUAUUAAUGCUAUAAACACUGUAAUCUAAUAUUACAUUACUGAAUUAAACCAAACGUACUAAUACAGCAUCAGUAGUAAUCUCACGCCGAAAUUCAAGAUACUUGGAUAUGUCGAGAUACUUUGUAAUAUUACAUAACUCGAACCAAACGGGCCCUUAAUAUAAUCAUUCUUCUUCUUUUGCUAUUGUCGUUAUUUUUUUGUUUCGUCUUUUUUCUUCUAAUAACUUUGUUAUUAUUGUUGUUCUUGCUGGUUCUUCUUCUUGGUUCUUCUUCUUUAGCUUCUUUUUUUAUUUUUUUAUAUUUUUACUGCUACUAUAAAUAUAUUUAUUAUUCUUAUGUUUGUGUCUUUAUUCUUUUUUCAUUUCUUUUAUAUUUAUUAUUCUUAUGUUUGUGUCUUUAUUCUUUUUUCAUUUCUUUUUAUGCUUUUAUUCUUAUAUUUUAUUGCACCACCUGUUGCUGCUGCUGCUUCUUCUUCAACUAUUACUUUUUUUCUAAUUCUUUAGUUUCUUUAAAUUUUUUUAUGUUCUUAUUGUUUUUUUCCUUCGGUUUUUUUCUUAUUUAUUUGUCUCCACAUAACUGACUUCCCGCAACGCGCCGGUGUCUUCACUAGUUUUACAAUACCAGCUAGUCUACUACAGACCGUAACCCAAGAACAACUUUUAUAACUUGAGCUCUCUAUAUUACUCUUCAGAUUUGCUAGAAUUCAACUCUUUAAGAGCAGACAACUUAGCAUGCCAUCAAAAUAUCUAGUUUAAUGAUCCGCGUUUUGUCGAUGUCAUAGAUUUCUUUGCAUAAAUACAUGCUUAAUCUGAAAGCGAUAACUUAAUCAAACGAUUUAGUAAUCCAUCAUUCCCAAUUUAAAGAAACCAAAGUUGAUAAAUCUAGUGGAUUAGAAUGGAUUGUCAAACAUGGCCUUCAAAUAAUUAGCUGCAAUAGUUAGGAAAUGCGCGAUAAGAUUGGCAAAGCACAAAACAAACAGCGAGCGAUUUUGUAUCCACUAAACUCCUCUAAAGCUGAUCUAGCUAUUAUGUCCAGAUGAUACAAUUUGGAACUCAGAAUAUGGCAUGUAAAAACAGUUUUCCUAGGGUAAUAAGGUUAACAUGCAAUGGCUAGUAUAACUCAAUUCUUAAUUCUUCACUUAACAACUUGGGACUAACGAAUUUGUCCAGGUCUAAAUCAACAAACCAGAAUUUAGACCGUGCGCAUUUCAAUUUCCGCAACUUGGACCAUUUGUGAACGACAGAGUCGUGCGCGAACAUGUUUGCUUCACAUUAUCAGUUGUUUGGUCGAGAUCUCAGCUGGAAAGUGCAUCUAUAAAGAUAGCANUUAUUCUUUUUUCAUUUCUUUUUAUGCUUUUGUUCUUAUAUUUUAUUGCACCACCUGUUGCUGCUGCUGCUUCUUCUUCAACUAUUACUUUUUUCUAAUUCUUUAGUUUCUUUAAAUUUUUUUAUGUUCUUAUUGUUUUUUUCCUUCGGUUUUUUUCUUAUUUAUUUGUCUCCACAUAACUGACUUCCCGCAACGCGCCGGUGUCUUCACUAGUUUUACAAUACCAGCCCAAGAACAACUUUUAUAACUUGAGCUCUCUAUAUUACUCUUCAGAUUUGCUAUAAUUCAACUCUUUAAGAGCAGACAAUUUAGCAUGCCAUCAAAAUAUCUAGUUUAAUGAUCCGCGUUUUGUCGAUGUCAUAGAUUUCUUUGCAUAAAUACAUGCUUAAUCUGAAAGCCAUAACUGAAUCAAACGAUUUAGUAAUCCAUCAUUCCCAAUUUAAAGAAACCAAAGUUGAUAAAUCUAGUGGAUUAGAAUGGAUUGUCAAACACGGCCUUCAAAUAAUUAGCUGCAAUAGUUAGGAAAUGCGCGAUAAGAUUGGCAAAGCACAAAACAAACAGCAAGCGAUUUUGUAUCCACUAAACUCCUCUAAAGCUGAUCUAGCUAUUAUGUCCAGAUGAUACAAUUUGGAACUCAGAAUAUGGCGUGUAAAAACAGUUUUCCUAGGGUAAUAAGGUUAACAUGCAAUGGCUAGUAUAAUUCAAUUCUUAAUUCUUCACUUAACAACUUGGGACUAACUAAUUUCUUACAAUGUCAUCCUUAAGCAGGAAGAAUUUGUCCAGGUCUAAAUCAACAAACCAGAAUUUAGACCGUGCGCAUUUCAAUUUCCGCAACUUGGACCAUUUGUGAACGACAGAGUCGUGCGCUAACAUGUUUGCUUCACAUUAUCAGUUGUUUGGUCGAGAUCUCAGCUGGAAAGUGCAUCUAUAAAGAUAGCACAGAGAGACAUUAGGUAGGCCAACAAAAUCUGCUUAACUGAAAAUUUGGAGGGCAAAGUAAAUAUCUACCAAACAUGAAGUGAUUACCCCCUAUUCUUUCUAAUUCAUAGUACAAUUCAGACAUGAGAUCUCUUAUUUCUUGCAACAGCUAAAGCCUAUUUCUGCCAAAUAUAAAACUGCAGUACAGUUUGGCCCAAAUAUCUCUUUCAAUUGCCAAAAAAUCAACAAAGAUUAACACUGUAAGUCAUAAAAUUGUUAGAUUACCUCAAACUUGGAAUGCAUUUGGUUCUGAACGACAAUCUAUUAGCGGCAAAGCAUCAAUGGUAAAGCAGCAACCAGGAGAAGAACAGAAUUAUAAAUGACACCUUAAGAUUCUAGAAUUCGCAAACCAUGUACCUUGAAAUUAAACUGAACCAUCAUCAAAGACCAGAAGCAACUCCAUCUACGAGAAAUAAACCUUCCAAAUUGCCCUACCGUUCAAACCUUUAUAUAUGGAUUGGAUCGAAGAACAGGGAAUAAAAAUGCAGAGUUUCCAAGAUCCACAUUUAAUUAACUGUUUGUUUAGCAUGACCAUUUUCUCUAUUGCAAGAAGCAAACAACAGCAUUUGAAACAGGAAAAGCCCUCGUCUUUUUCUAUGGCAGCAAACUGAAAUAAAAUUUCAUUGACUUGUCUGUCUCCAAGAACUAAGUAGGAUUUAUUUCUCACAAAUAUAAAGGCAAACAAGCAAACUCAAUAUAUUGUUAUAUUUCAACUGCCUUUCAGACAAAUACCAGUCAAAAAUUAGUAGAAGCCAAUACCACUUAGAAUAUAAGGGCAACAUAUUUGCAUAAGGUAUGUGUUUUACACUACAAAGUUUUGUAUCUCACACCGAACCCUACAAGUAGAUAAAUUUGACUCUUCACGAGAGCACCAACAAACUCCCAUAUUCAGGAAAAGUAGCAUCUUUUAUUUGUUAAAGCAAAGAUAAGAAGAUAAAAUGCUACAAUAUAACUUGUUAAAGCCUCCAAAGUACUAACAUCAAUAACUAAGAACUUAAAAUAAAGAAAAACCAGCAAUCAAAAUAUAUAUAUAUAUAUAUAUAUAUAUAUAUAUAUUUCCCACCAUUAUGCACGACCAAACAGCACCUGAAUGGCGAAGCAGCCUGGUGUAGAGCAUGACAUUCGGCCUACAAAGCAAAUAAGGAAACAUCUAGUUGUGUUAUUGCAAAGAGACAGAAAAUUUAAACAAACAAGUAUUGCUAAUUAUAUUUCAUUAAUUAGCAUAAUCAUAUAAAGAUAACAUGGAGCAUGUUAUCCAACACUUUAUUAGGAAUACUCUCAGGAAGCAUUAGAAACUAUUCUGCAACAAUUGAUAUGCAAGAAAUAAUUAGCAUCUCUUCCUGAAUCUUAUGAGAAUCAGUAAAAGAUAUAGUCCUCCUAACAAUUCAAAAGCCUCAUCCAAAUUCCUAAUUUUACAAGUCCAAGAAGUUACCAAUUUGGACAAAUAUAUAGCUAGCUAAUGUCGUAGCUGAAAUUUUUUUUCAUUAAAAAAAUUAGCACAAUGAGGAAAAAAUAAAAACUUAACAUAAAACAAAGUUGAACAUUGAUGUAACUAAGCAUUGGAAGUAGAAAUACAAGACGAACAGAAUAAAUAAUUUUAGCAUAGGAAACCUCAUUCUCCUUUUCUACAACAUAUCGCAUGACGCAUGGUUUUCAAGUUAGACAACAGAUAUCGAAUUAAAUAACAAAUGCUCUAAUUAAUUUAAGUACUAUAUACACAAACUAUGACCUAACUAUACAAACAAAUAAAUAAAAAUAUACCUUUACUAACUCGCAGUUGGCUUGAGUCUACAAAGAGCAACUCUAAUGUUACGUUGCACCCCAUAAAACACCUUCGCCUGGAAGAUUUUCCACUCAGCUUCACUGUCAACUGCUUGGAAGGUAACAUAGUACCAAAGUCCUGCUGCGACACUACACGUUGCCUUCUCUAUUUUUACAAACACAUAACUCAUAUCCUACAUUACGAAAACAUCACGAAAUCAAUUUUAUCAAAAAAAAAAAAAAAAAAAAAAAAAACACACAAAGAAAUAAACAAUAAGAAAAGACAUACACAAGGCAACAUGAACAUACAUUUUCCUUAUUAAAAUGUUCGAUUGCCAAUUUAGUACAUCUGAGAAGAAUUUCAUCAUCAAAAUCCGUGAUCGCCGUAAGGCCAAACUCACAAGUGCCUGGAAAUGGAUCAACAUCGAAUCCCUGUAAAAGACAUGUAUUAACAAUUAGUGAAAAAAAGGUUAUGAAACUUUAACUCUCAAAAAGAAGACAAUAAUUAUUAAACACCUCGCUUUCCUUGAUUUGUUUGUAAUAUCUGUCCCAUUCUUCGCGAGUCCUACUGCGAUUACCAUUAGGCCAAACAUAAACCUCAUCUUCCUCUGAAGUAUGCUCAUAAACCCUUUGAUCCUUCUCGUUCCCUUUCUCUUCCUCCAUUUCACUUUGGGUAUCUUCCUCCUUGCCCUCUUCCCUCAUCUCUUCGCUUUCUUCCUGCAGUUUCAACUUCUUCUGCAGCGGCCCUUCAGGUAUCAGGUUCUUGGAAUUCUGCCUGUAUCACAAAAUGAAAUAUAUCUAUCAUAAAAAAUUUAAACAAAUUUCAAUCAAAACUAACGACAAUUUAAAAAAAAAAAAUCUUAAAUUGGCUCAAAUAGAAGAAGAAUUUAGCCGAUGCAUACGAAACAGAGACCAAACAGGGCAUAAUUCAGGUGAUACAUUCCUAGAUUAGGAUUUUCUAAUUACGGAAUAAUAUAUUAUUUAUUUUAAAAUAUUUCAGUUGUUUCCAAUAAAGUGUAAUUAGGGUUAGGUUAUAGAAAUGUGUAUCUUUUAGGGUUUGGAGAAUAAGAAGAAAUUGGUCGUGUUGUUCUCUUCUCCCUUAUCUAUCUUUAUCUCUCUAAUAUCUCUCUCUUUAGGAGGUUCGAUCCCCUCGAAGUGAUCGUUUAUCCCUAUUGAUACUAAUAUCUCUCUCUUUAGGAGGUUCGAUCCCCUCGAAGUGAUCGUUUAUCCCUAUUGAUACUAAUAUCUCUCUCUUUAGGAGGUUCGAUCCCCUCGAGGUGAUCGUUUAUCUCUAUUGAUACAAUACAACGGUAUCAAUUGGCAUCAGAGCCUUGUAUGUAUAGUGUAAACUCCAGCAAAAAAAGAUUUUCUGAAGAAGAUGAAUGGGGAUUUCAUAAGAAAAGAAGAGAUGAACGCUCGGUUUUCCAAUGUGAAGGCCCAACUCAACAAAGUGGAGACCGAGGUAAAGCUCACUAGCGAUUCUAUUAAUGAUCUCAAAAAUUUGAUCAUCCCUAUGAGCACGAAGAUGGAUUUGCAGCCGCAUACGCCAUUUGAAGAUACAUUCGUCUCGAAUUUCGACAAAAAUCAUCCCUUGCUCCCAACUCCUAUUAAGAAGGAAGCAUUGAUCCUAUUCAAAAUGUUCGUGACUAUCAGGCUCGACUCGAAAUGCUUGCCAAUCGCACUUAACAUUUUUCAUAAGUUUCUUGCCAAUCGCACUUAACAUUUUUCAUAAGUUUCUUCAUUAGUGGGCUGAAGGAGGAUCUAAAGUAUAACGUCCGAGCCUUCCGACCAACUUCUAUAUCAGCUGCUAUUGGUCUUGCUCGUCUACAAGAGGAGAAGUUAAUAGCUCAACAUCGUAUUAUGAAGCCUAAGCCUUCCCUUUUGUGCCCUUCCAUGACACCAAUAUCUAAUGAGGCGCUUCCACCCAUAAAGCGCCUUACACCGGCUAAAGCAAAAGUAAGAAGAGAUCAAGGCCUUUUGCUACAAUUGUAUGAAAAAUAGUCCUGGACAUCGAUGAAAAUCAAAGCAACUAUUUUUGAUCGAGGCCGAACGUGAUGAAAACAGAGAAGAUCUAAAGAGGAUAGGCAAAGGUUGAGGAUUUUCCAUCUUGAGGGCAAGGUGGCUAUCGAGGGCGGUGGAAUGACAUAUUCCUAGAUUAGGCUUUUUAAUUAUGGAAUAAUAUAAUAUUUAUUUUAGAACAUUUCAGUUAUUCUCAGUAAAGUGUAACUAGGAUUAGGUUAUAUAGAUGUGUAUCUUCUAGGGUUUGGAGAAAAAAAAAAAUUUGACCGUCUUGUUCUAUCUUCCCUCCCGUUCUCUUCCCUCUUAUCUUAAUCUCUUUAAUAUCUCUCUCUUUAGGAGGUUCGAUCCCCUCGAAGUGAUCGUUUAUCCCUAUCGAUACGGUAGAACCGUAUCAUCAAGCUAAAUUUCGUAAAUAAUUUUUUGGAAGGACUAUUUUUAUAAUUAUAAAAUAUGUUAUAAGUAUAUUAAUAAAAGAAAAGUCAACCAGCCAUCAUAAUCAAAAUAAUCAAAUGCAUAUCAAACGGCACAAACGGCAUUCUAAUCAUUUAUUACAAUCCAAAAUUGAUCAGAGUCAAACACAUAUCAAAAUCGCACAUAAAAAAAAAAGCACAUCCUGACAUAUGUGUACAGAAUAUGGUAACAAACGAGAUGUAUACCUUUGCCAGGUAAAGACAAUCUUCAGGAGAAGCAAGGCCUUCGCGAAUAAAGGCGGUGCGAAGGCACAGGAGAAGGAGACUCAGACUUGCGCUGCAAGUUUUGAUUUUAAUUUAGAGUAAACUUCAAGUCCCAUCCAUGUAGUUUCGCACUUCCUCAUUUUAGUACUCUAUAAUUUAAAGUGUAUCAAUUUAGUGCCCUCUGGUUUUAUUUUUCUCUUUUCAUCAACUUCUUCGUUAAUAUUUCGUUAAAUUAUAUACAAAAAAACUUCAGAUACCCACCUAGGUUUAUCGAAUAUUUACUUUAAUACUCUUUAGUUUUAACUUUGUCAUUGAUUUAAAGAAAAAAAUUAGUAGAAUUGAUAAUAAAAGGAUAAAAAUAAAACCACAGGACGCUAAAUUGAUACACUUUAAAGUAUAAAAUAAUAAAAUGAGAAAAUGUGAAAUCACAGGGGUGAUAUUUGAAAAUUUUCUUUUAAUUUUUAGUUUUUUGUUUUAGCAGUGGGCGGUGGCGUCGGGUGCUUCCCAUACGUGCGCUGCUGGCCCGGUACUUGGCAAAAGCCAAAACCACCUGAGGAACGAAUCACAUCCCCAGUGACGUUUCUGCCCUACUUUUGGAACAAAAGGCCAAAAAAAAAAAAACUUUAAACUAACGUAAAAAAGAUUAUGAACUUUAGUUUUCUUUUUUGUUUUUUUCCCAAUUAGAAUCUUAUUAUUCUAUUUGAAUUGGAUUCUAAUUCGGUUUCAGAUUUUGAAUUCCGAAAUUUUUCGGAUUCAAAUUCAGAUUUACUAUUUUUUUUCCCUAACUCAUAUUCAGAUUCGGAUUCAGAUUCGAAUAUGCAAUUUUGAAAUAUCCCAACAAAACUCUCACAACUUUUUUUUAUUUUAGCUUUAAAUAGAAUUAGGCUGGUAUACUUCCGUGCUACCAAAUUGUUUUCAAUAAUGCAACCUCCAAAUCGACGAUCGGCUCCGUUAGACUUGAUUUAUACUAUUGAAAGUAUUUGAAAACUAAAUUUCAUAAUUUUUCGACAUCAUUUGUCUAGUGAUCAAAAGUUACCAAAAUUGACAAUUUUAAUAGUCGACGUGAUGUAUUUGUGAAUUUAACGGUGUAAAACAAUUCAAAUCUGAUAAAAUCUUUAUAAAAAAUUCUUUUCACUAUUUAGAGUAAGAUCAGUACCUCUGAUCUUAAAUCAAGUCUUUUAUCAUCAUUUUUUAUAAGUUUUUUUAUUUUCAGUCGUUUAUUUUAGACUACUCAUUGAUAGAUAAAUAAUGUCGACAAAUUAUGAAAUUUAGUUUUCAAAUACUUUUAAUAGUGUAGAUCAAGUCUAAUGGAGCCGAUCGUCGAUUUGGAAGCGGCAUCAUUGAAAAUAACUUGGUAGCACUGAGACCUCUGUGCUACCGAUAGUAUACCAGCCGGACUCCUUUAAAUAUUAAUUAAAUAAUAUAAGUGGUAUGGUAUCCAAUGUUGAUUUAGGGGCCGUUUGGUUCAGGAACAAAGCGGGAAUAAAUACUUGUUCCUUUUUUUGUUUCCAGAUGCUAUGUUUGGUACUCGAGAACAAGCAGUUUUCAAGUCUCUGGAAUAAGCAAGUAUAAUCCGGUAUAAGUUUUGAAUUGUUAUUCCAACUUUUUUCUAGAACAAGCUUGUUCCCAAGUAGAAACAAGAUUAAUUAAAGUUUAAAUUUAAUUUUAACUAUGAUAUUAAAUUAUUAAUUAAUCUAAUUAAUAUAUUAGAAUUAUUAUCCAUUGUUUAAAUAAUAAAGUAAUUAAUUAAUUAAUUUAUUAUGUAUAAUUAAUUAGCUAAUUAAUUAUUAAUAAUUUAAUGUGUUUAUCUAUAAAUUAAUUUUUAUAUUGAUCAACCAUUAAUAUUAUUAUUAUUCUAAUUAAUUUUUUAAUUAGUUAUCAGACUAAAAUAAUUUACUAACUAAUUAAAAAUCUAAAUUAUUUUUUAUAGUUAAUUAAUUAAUUGAUAUAUUUUUAUUAUCUUCUAUAAUAUUCAUAGGUAAUAAAUUUAUUAAUUUAUUAAAUUAUUUUAAUUAAUAUUUUGAUGUUAAUUAACAGGAUAAAACAUUUUUAAUUUAAAAUUAUAACUCUUGUUUUUUCUGUUUCAAUCUAAUCAUCCAAACACUAUUUACCUUAUUUUCAAAAACAAUCUAAUUUUUGUCUAAAUGCAAAAUUAGUCUAGUUUCUGUUUAUAUCUAAACUUAUAUCUAUUUGUGAAAUAAGUAGUUUUUACUCGUAUCUGAACCAAGAUUCUUUUUUAUUAGUUCGGUUUGGACUACUAUUGAUGUGACAAACUAUUUAUUUACCUUAUAGUCUCUCUUCUUCUUUUUUUCCUUAUUUCUUUAAUUUAUGUUUUUUUUUUAUUAUUUUGAAGUGGUGGUUUCAUCACAAACAAAUAUCUUCCUUCGUUUCUUUGUCAUUGUACCAUCAACUAAAACCUUUUCUUAAAAUAGAGAUCAAAGGUUGUGACUAUUUGCUUAGGAGGCCGUUUCUAGAAGAAGGAAUGCAAGCUUACAACAAAAUUCUAUUAUGUGCGGAAUGGCAAUCUUGGUGGGUCUGCUCCUACAGGCAACCAUUAUUUGCAGCCGUAAGGUGGAGUGAGGGUUUUGAUGCGGUAUGCUUUGAGGUUGAUCUGAACUUUCAUAGUACAAUCAGAGGUUAAAUUUUGUGUGAAAGUUGCAGAUUUGGGCUUCAGCUCCCUAUGGGAGAAGAGUAAAAUUACGCUGUUGUUUUCUGAAAUAUUGCAUAGCCCCCCGACCUCCACCACCUUGAUAUUUAACAGUUUGUUUUGAUUUUGAGUGACCAAGUAAAUUUGAUUUGCCUAAUGUCUAUCUUUUUUUUAUUUUUUUUCUUUCUUUCUUUCUUUCUUUCUUUUUUUAGCUACUUGCUUUUGCUUCUCCUCUACUUACCACUAUAAUUUUAUGGCCUUUGAAUCAUUUGAAGCAUUUUGGUUGUUUUCAUUUUAGUCUUUACUGUGUCGUGAUUAUCUAACAAACUCUUUAGGUUAGCUGCAAAAGAAGUGCCUUUUAUUGUUGAACUACAAUGGGGGUGCCGUAUGCUGCUCUUGUUGUUGCUAUUAUUAUUAUUAUUAUUGUUGUUGUUGUUGUUGUUGUUGUUGUUGUAGUUCUUCUUCUUCUUCUCUUAUGUUGUUGAACUAUAGAAGGGGUGCUUCUUCUUCUUCGUCGUCGUCCUGCUCCUCCUCCUCCUCCUCCUCCUCUCCUAUUCUUGUUGCUAUUAUUAUUAUUAUUGUUAGAAGGGGUGUAAAGUCUCAUCUUUCAUUUUUUGGCUGGAAAAAGUGGUAAAGUUGGAAGACUUUGCAUUCAAGUAUCUCCUGCACUGCAGGACUAUUUUGGCAGGGGCUACUCGGCAGGCAACCAUUUUGCAUUCAGAUUGACAUUACAGAUAUGAGGGACUAGUGCACAAUAUCCAAGAUUCGAGGGAAUCACAUGCCUCCCAAAAUGAGAUAGAGAGAGGGAGAAAAACUCUUAUUAUCGAUGAAUCGGCAUCUCUGAAACAUGGUCAAAUUAGAGAAAAGCUUUCUAAGAAGAGAGGCGAUGAUGGUUCGUAAUCCUCCUCUCAUGCUCUGCCACUCCCUGAUUUAGUAAUGGCGUGGCAACCCUGGAGGUAUAUUGUCUUAAGGUGACAAUUACAUGUUGUGGUUGUGAGACUGGUUUGUGGACAACAAAUGGCAACCAGGUUGGUAUUCAUUGCUAGGUGGGAGUGGUGAAGACCGAAGAUAGGAGGGAGGCUAAUGGAAUAGUUCCCCUGAGCCUCUGCUUCUAAAUCCUGUUUUAUUGUUCUAUGAAUUAUGAAGGCUUUUUGUGGACUUCUGUCCAUGCAUCUUGUGCAGGUAAUAAUUUCUCGAGCUUAUCUUUUUCUGAUAAGGUUGAGGAUUUUCCAUCUUGAGGACAAGGUGGCUAUCGAGGGCGGUGGAAUGACAUAUUCCUAGAUUAGGCUUUUUUAAUUAUGAAAUAAUAUAUUAUUUAUUUUAAAACAUUUCAGUUAUUUUCAAUAAAAUGUAACUAGGGUUAGGUUAUAUAGAUGUGUAUCUUCUAGGGUUUGGAGAAUAAGAAGAAUUUGACCAUCUUGUUCUAUCUUCCCUCCCGUUCUCUUCCCCCUUAUCUAUUUUUAUCUCUCUAAUAACUCUCUCUUUCUUUAGGAGGUUCGAUUCUCUCGAAGUGAUCGUUAAUCCUUAUCGAUACGGUAGAACUGUCUGUAUCAUCAGGCCAAAUUUCGUAAAUAAUUUUUUUGAAGGACUAUUUUUACAAUUAUAAUAUGUUAUAAGUCUAUUAAUAAAAGAAAAGUCAACCAACCAUCGUAAUCAAAAUAAUCAAAUGCAUAUCAAACGGCACAAACGGCAAUCUAAUCAUUUAUUACAAUCCAAACUUAAUUAAUCAGAGAGUCAAACACAUAUCAAAAUCGCACAUAAAGAAAAAAAAGCACAUCCUGACACGUGUACAGAAUACGGUAACGAACGAGAUGUAUACCUUCGCCAGGUGAAGACAAUCUUCAAUACGUCCAUGUCGAGAAGGACAAUGCGGCGGCGGCGGCGGCGGCGGAUGCCGGGCGAAGACGGGGGGAAGGAUCGGACUUCAGGAGGAGCAAGGGCUUCGCGAACAGAGUCAGUGCGAAGAGACAGGAGAAGGAGACUCCGCCGCCGCCGAUGCCGGGUGAAGACGGGGGGAGGAUCGGACAAGGGCUUCGGGAACAGAGGCGCCGAUGCCGGGCGAAGACGGGGAGAGGAUCGGACAAGGGCUUCGGGAACAGAGGCGGUGCGAAGGGACGGGGGAGAAGGAGACUCAGACUUGCUGUGCACGUUUUGAUUUUAGUUUUAGAAAAACUUCAAAUGCCAUCCUUGUGGUUUUAUAUUUUCUGACUUUAAUAUUCUAUAAUUUAAAUUUAAAGUGUAUUAAUUUAGUAUUUUACGAUUUUAUUUUUAUUUUUUUAUUAUAAAUUUUAUUAAUUUUUUUCGUUAAAUCAGUGACAAAGUUAAAACUAAACGGUAUUAAAAUGAAUGUUCGAUAAACCUAGGUGGGGUAUCUAAAAUUUUUUAUAUAUAUUUUAACGAAAUAUUAACGAAAAAGCUAACGAAAAAAUAAAAAUAAAACCGCAGGACACUAACUAGAUACACUUUAAUUAUAGGGUACUAAAAUAAGAAAGUGUGAAACCACAUGAGUGAUUUUUGAAUUUCACCCUUUAGUUUUCAGUUUUUAGUUUUUUUAUUUUAGCAGUGGACGGUGGUGUCGGAUGCUUUCCAUACGUGCGCCACAGGCCGAUACAGACUUGGCAAAAGCCAAAACCACCUGAGGAACAAAUCACAAUCCCAGUGACGCUUCUGCCCUACUUUUGGAACAAAAUGCCAAAAAAACAGCAAAAAACUUUAAACUAAUGUAAAAAGGGUUAAUUACACCGAUGGUCUCAAAUCUUUGCACUAUUUUUCACUUGGGUCCCCAACUUUUUUUUUUGCAAUUGAGUCCCUAAUCUCUUGAUUUUAUUACAAUCACGUCCCGCCGUAAAAAAUACUGUUAAAAUUAAUGGAAUAGAAUAGGCAUCCUUUUGCAUGUUAAUUUUGGUCCAUAAACUUUGCACGUUUUUCACUUUAGUCCCUAAAAAAAAUUUAAAAUUUUAAUUUGAAAUUCAAAAAUAAUAUUAAAAUUAAAAUUUUAAACUAACGAGAAAUUAGAAAUUUGAAUUUGAAUUUAAAGCUAAAUUAAAAUCUUGAAUUGAAAUUUAAAUUUUAAAUUUGAAUUUUAAAUUGAAUCUAAAAUUUGAAUUCAAACUUAAAGUUUUGAUUUUGAUAUUUCAAUUUACAUUUAAAAUGAAAGUUUUGAAAUUGAAAUUUAAAUUUAAAAUCGUAUUCAAAAUUUUGAUUUUAAAUUUAAAUUUGAAUUCAAAAUUUAAAUUUAAAAUUAAGAUUUGAUUUCAAUUCUAAAUUUGAAUUUAAACAUCGAAUUCAAAUUCACAUUUUGAUUUGAAAUUUCAAAUCAAAGUUUGAAAUUAAAUUAGAAUUUAAAAUUCGAAAUGUGAAUUCGAGUUUAAAAUUAAAAUUUUAAAAUUAAAUGUAAAAUCAGAAUUUGAAUUCAAAUUUAAAUUUGAAUCCAAAAUCAAAAUUUAAAUCUUAAAUUAAAAAUCUUGCUUUAAAUUUAUAAAUGUAAUGGGUUAAUUACACCAUUGGUCCUCAACCUUUACACAAUUUUUCAAUUUAGUCCUCAACCUUUUUUUUUUUUUGCAAUCCGCUGACACCCGCCUCUGUGGCGCUGACACGGCGCCUCCGUGGCGCUGACAUGGUGCUGACGUGGUAUUUUCCGUCAAUUUUAAUACCUUUUUGACGGCUGGGACUUAAUUGUAAUGAAAUCAAUAUAUUAGAGACUUGAUUGCAAAAAAAAAAAGAUUGGGGACCAAAUUGAAAAAUAGUGCGAAGGUUUGGGACCAAUGGUGUAAAUAACCCAAUGUAAAAAAGAUUAUAAACUUUAGUUUUCUUUUUUGUUUUUUUUUUUUCUAAUUAGGAUCUUAUUAUUCUAUUUGAAUUUGGAUUCUAAUUCGGUUUCGGAUUUUGAGUUCCGAAAUUUUUUGGAUUCAAAUUCAGAUUUACUAUUUUUUGCCCCAACUCAUAUUCAGAUUCGGAUUCGGAUUCGAAUAUGCAAUUUUAAAAUAUCCCAACAAAACUCUCACAACUUUUUUUUAUUUUAGCUUUAAAUAGAAUUGGAUUCGGAUUCGAAUUCGGAUUCGAAUAUGCAAUUUUGAAAUAUCCCAACAAAACUCUGACAACUUUUUUUAUUUUAGCUUUAAAUAGAAUUAGGCUGGUAUACUAUCGGUAGUACGGAGGCCUCCGUACUACAAAAUUGUUUUCAAUGAUGCGGCUUCCAAAUCGACGAUCGGCUCCGUUAGAUUUCAUAUACGCUAUUGAAAGUAUUUGAAAACUAAAUUUCAUAAUUUUUCGACAUCAUUUGCCUAGUGAUCAAAAGGUAUCAAAAUUGACAAUUUCAUAAUUUUUCGACAUCAUUGGCCCCAAUUUCCCUUUCAAUUGCCAAAAAUCAACAAAGAUUAACACUGUAAGUCAUAAAAUUGUGAGAUUACCUCAAACUUUGCAUUCGGUUCCGAACGCCACUCUAUUAGCGGCAAAGCAUCAAUGGUAAAGCAGCAACCAGGAGAAGAACAAAAAUAUAAAUGACACCUUGAGAUUCUAGAAUUCGCAAACCAUGUACCUUGAAAUUAAACUAAACCAAAAGCAACUCCAUCUACGAGAAAUAAACCUUCACGUACGGAUCGGAAUAGCAAUUCCAACUGUUUGUUUAGCAUGACCAUUUUCUCUAUCGCAAGAAGCAAACAACAGCAUUUGAAACAGGAAAAGCCCUCGGCUCUUUCUAUGGCAGCAAACUGAAAUAAAAUUUCAUUGGCUUGUCUGUCUCCAAAGAACUAAGUAGGAUUUAUUUCUCACAAAUAUAAAGGCCAACAAGCAAACUCAACAUAUUGUUAUAUUUCAACUGCCUUUCGGACAAAUACCAAUCAGAAAUUAGCAGAAGCCAAUACCGCUUAGAAUAUAAGGGCAACAUAUUUGCCUAAGCUAUGUGUUUUACACUGCAAAGUUUUGUAUCUCACACCGAACCCUACAAGUAGAUAAAUUUGACUCUUCACGAGAGCACCGACAAACUCCCAUAUUCAGGAAAAGUAGCAUCUUUUAUUUGUUGAGGCAAAGAUAAGAAGAUAAAAUGACACAAUAUAACUUGUUAAAGCCUCCAAAUUACUAACACUAAUAACUAAGAACUUAAAAUAAAGAAAAACCAGCAAUCGAAAAAAAAAAAAAAUUUACCACCAUUAUUCACGACCAAACAGCACCUGAAUGGGGAAGGCCUGGUGUAGAGCAUGACAUUCCGCCUGCAAAGCAAAUAAGGAAACAUCUAGUUGUGUUAUUGCAAAGAGACAGAAAAUUUAAACAAACAAGUAUUGCUAAUUAUAUUUCAUUGAUUAGCAUAAUCAUAUAAAGAUAACAUGGAGAAUGUUAUCCAACACUUUAUCACGAAUACUAUCAAGAAGCAUCAGAAACUAUUAUGCAACAAUUGAUAUGUAGGAAAUAAUUAGCAUCUCUUCCUGAAUCUUGUGAGAAUCAGUAAAAGAUAUAGUCCUCCUAACAAUUCAAAAGCCUCAUCCAAAUUCCUAAUUUUACAAGUCCAAGAAAUUACCAAUUUGGACAAAUAUAUAGCUAGCUAAUUGUGGUAGCUGAAAUUUUUUUCAUGAAAAAAAAUUAACACAAUGAGGAAAAUAUAGAAACUUAACAUAAAACAAAGUUGAACAUUGAUGUAACUAAGCAUUGGAAGUAGAAAUACAAGACGAACAGAAUAAAUAAUUUUAGCAUAGGAAACCUCAUUCUCCCUUUCCACAACAUAUCGCAUGUCACAUCGUUACAAAUAUCGAAUUAAAUAACAAAUGCUCUGAUUAAUUUAAAUACUAUAUACACAAACUAUAACCUAACUAUACAAACAAAUAAAUAAAAAUGUACCUCUACUAACUCGCAGUGGGCUUGAGUCUACAAAGAGCAACUUUAAUGUUACGUUGCACCCCAUAAAGCACCUUCGCCUGGAAGAUUUUCGGCUCAGCUUCACCGUCAACUGCUUGGAAGGUAACAUAGUACCAAAGUCCUGUUGCGACACUACACGUUGCCUUCUCUAUUUUUACAAACACGUAACUCAUAUCCUACAUUAUAAAAAACAUCAUAAAAUCAAUUUUAUCAAACAAAAAUAAAGACACAAAGAAAAAAACAAUAGGAAAAGACAUACACAAGGGAACAUGAACAUACAUUUUUCUUAUUAAAAUGUUCGAUUGCCAAUUUAGUACAUCUGAUAAGAAUUUCAUCAUCAAAAUCCGUGAUCGCCGUAAGGCCAAACUCACACGUGCCUGGAAAUGGAUCAACAUCGAAUCCCUGUAAAAGACAUGUAUUAACAAUUAGUGAAAAAAAAAAAGGUUGUGAAGCUUUAACUCUCAAAAAGAAGAUAAUAAUUAUUAAACACCUCGCUUUCCUUGAUUUGUUUGUAAUAUCUAGCCCAUUCUUCGUGAGUCCUACUGCGAUUACCAUUCGGCCAAACGUAAACCUUAUCUUCCUCUGAAGUUGCUCAUAAACCCUUUGAUCCUUCUCGUUCCCUUUCUCUUCCUCUAUUUCACUUUGGAUUUCUUCCUCCUUGCCCUCGUCCCUCAUCUCUUCGCUUUCUUCGUGCAGUUUCAACUUCUCCUACAUCGACUCUUCAGGUAUCAGCUUCUUAGCAUUCUGCUAUAUCACAAAAUGAAAUACAUCUAUACAUAAAAAAUUUAAAUAAAUUUCAAUCAAAACUGACGACAAAUUAAAAAAAAAAUUCUUAAAUUGGCUCAAAUAAAAGAAGAAUUUAGCCGAUGCAUACGAAAUAGAGUCCAAACAGGGCAGAAUUCAGGUGAUACAUUCCUAGAUUAGGAUUUUCUAAUUACGAAAUAAUAUAUUAUUAUUUUAAAAUAUUUCAGUUGUUUCCAAUAAAGUGUAAUUAGGGUUAGGUUAUAUAAAUGUGUAUUUUUUAGGAUUUGGAGAAUAAGAAGAAAUUGGCCGUGUUGUUCUAUCUUCCAUCUUGUUCUCUUCCCCCUUAUCUAUCUUUAUCUCUCUAAUAUCUCUCUCUUUAGGAGGUUCGAUUCCCUCGAAGUGAUCAUUUACCCCUAUCGAUACGGUAGAAUCUUGUUCUAUCUCCCCUCCCGUUCUCUUCCCUCUUAUCAAUCUUUAUCUCUCUAAUAUCUUUCUCUAGGAGGUUCGAUUAUCUCAAAGUAAUCGUUUAUCCCUACCGAUACGGUAGAACCGUAUCAUCAGGCCAAAUUUCGUAAACAAUUUUUUUGAAGGAAUAUUUUUAUAGUUAUAAUCUAUUACUCUUUAUGAAUCCCCAAUGUUUUAAGCUGAUGUGUCAUAACCUCCUAAUUUUGAAUUUUUUUUAAUUUAGAAUGAUCAAUUUUAUUCUCUCUCUCAACAUACGUCUCUUCAUCUCCCCCAUUUAAUUUUUAUUUAGAAUGAGUCAUUUUACUCUCUCUCUCAACAUACGUCUCGUCAUCUCCCCUAUUCAAUUUUUAUUUAGAAUUAGCCAUUUUACUCUCUCUCUCUCAACAUUCGUCUCCUCAUCUCCCUCAUUUUAUUCUCUCUUUCUUAACAUACGUCUCUUCAUCUCUUCCAUUUAAUUUUUAUUUAGAAUAAGCUAUUUUACUCUCUCUCUCCAUCGUUGGUAGAUGUACCAAGUGAGAUAUACAAAAAAAUAUUUAAUAUUUUAUUAUUAUUAAUUACUACUAUAGUUUCUAUCCGCUGCAAAGCGCGGGACUCUUCACUAGUAUGAUAUAAGUCUACUAAUAAAAGAAACGUCACAAACAAACGGCAUUCUAAUCAUUUAUUACAAUCCGAACUUAAUUAAUCAGAGAACCAAACACAUAUCAAAUCGCACAUUCAAACAAAAACAAAAAAAAAGAAAGCACAUUCUAACACAUGUGUACGGAAUAUGGUAACGAACGAGAUGUAUACCUUUGCCAGGUGAAGACAAUUGUAAUGUCUUGAAGAAUAAGUAGUUUAAUAGUUAGUAGGGGAAGGAAGUAAAAAUGUCAACUUUACAAUAGUAAGACCAGAAAUAAGGACGGAAGUAGUAGGCGGAUCGGGCGGUCGAAUUACCGGAUCGGGCGUAAAACGCAGACCCAAGCCCCGCCGGGUUGCGGGUGAUGCGGAGAAGGCAGGAACCGACGCCCACUUACCGUUAUGCAUGGGUCAGGCGAACCGGAGCUCGGAUCGAGGCGAAAUGGCAAACCCAAGACCUGCAGGGUUGCGGGUAGUGAGGAGAAGUGCGGACCCGAGUCCGUUUGCCUGACAAUCAGCAGAAGAGAUCGGGAAAGCCCGGGAAAGGGCCCAACUACCAUGAGAUUUCAGCCCAUACGAGUUUUUCCUCAAUUUAUCACUUUUGCUGUUUAGCCCUCAUAGACUAGGUGCGUUUUUAGUUUAGUCCAAAUUACCAAGUACUAUAAAUACCAAAGUAUAAUGUAAACAGGGUAUCAAUAAAAUGAAAUAUUGAAUCUGCUUCUUCCCCAAACUCUCUUCUUCUCUAAACUCUCUUUUCCCAACUCUUAUCUUUUCUCUACCUCUCAUCCACACCAUGUCUAAACUCUAAACACAAUGAAUAAUUCGCCGUGUUUAAAAAAAUACAAUUAUAUGUAUUACGAAAAAAAUAUAAGUAUUAAAAAAAGGGAAUACAAAAAAUAUAAGCACGGAACAUGGUGAAUGGACCAUUCACCGUAAUUGAACACGAUGAAUGAUUUACCGUGUCUAAGAAAAAUAUAUCAUUUACCGUGUUUGAAUGCGGUGAAUGAUUCACGGUGUUCAACUUAUCACCCCUCCAGCUUUUACAAAAAUAAUUUAUAAAAUUUAAAUUUUAUAAAAAUAUAUUUGUUUGUUAUAAUCGGAACGACGAAAAGUAGAUCCAGAAAAUAAUUUAAUGCAGGAAAAGAAAAGAUAAGGAAAGAGUACACCGAUAUUUACGUGGUUCGGCCAACAGCCUACGUCCACGGGCGAAGACGGAGCAAAUACUUUGUUAAUGUCGAAAAGGCGGAAUACAAAGAAGAUUUCUCGAAAAAUAACCAAAGCUUAAUUAGAUCGAAACGCCGCAACAAGCAACUCCAAAAUUGGCUUCUCUCUCACCCGUACGACGUAUGGCUAAAUUAAAGUAGCCGCGGAUUCUUGACCGUACGAAACGUGCAUAGCUUGGCUUAAUUAGAGUGUGGCUUCUAAUCAGCCGCAGCUCCUGACCGUACGGACCGCAAGACCAACAUGGAUUGCUUAAUUAGAGCCCCGGCAGCUCAGAAUAAUUAGCACAUGGCAUCUAAUUUUGGUCGCGGCAUUAUUAACUUAGCCGUAGCGUAUCUAUUACUCUAUGUGAAUUCCCAAUAAUUUUGCCACGUGGCAAGUUUUUCUCCACUCUCACUAAUCUUUUUUUUGAAUUGAUUUUUACUCUUGGCUUUUCCACUCCCAUCUUCUUUAUUCAAUGACAUGUAAUUAAUGUGCUUUUUAAUUUAUACGUUUCCUAUUCAAAAUUACUUUUUUUGAAUUGAUUCUUACUCUUGGCUUUUCUCCUCCCCUCCUCUCUAUUCAAUGACAUAUAAUCAAUGUGCUUUUUAAUUUAUACGUUUUCUCUUCACAAUUAGUCCUUUCUUCUCCCACAAAUAAUUCCUAACAUGCAAAAUUAGAAAAGGAGAAGAUGAAUAGUUACUACUUUCAGAUCUAGAGAUUGGGGAAUAGUAAGGGAGUUUUCCAAGCUCUAAUCCGUGCCAAUCCGACUCGACCCGAACCCCCCCCCUCCGAAUCAAAAGAGUGUUUAUAGGGUUUCUAUUAAUGCCGAUCUCUUCGGAUUUAUGGAAAAAUAAGGUAAUCGAACGGUUUUUCAAUAGAGAAAGCUAAUUGGAGAGCAAUAAUGGACGGUUCGAGGGGUAGGUUUGGAAAACGAAAAUCCUAAACCUAAUUUUUCUUUUCUUUAUUUUAAUCUCGAAUUCUUACUAUGUAUUCAUUUAGAAUUUAAUUUAUUUGCAUUAUUUUUUAUAUGGUGAUUGUAUCAAUUAAGGACUUGAUUUAUAUGCAUUAUUUUGAUUAAUUUAGAGGUUAUUUUUUAUUUCAUAAUUGAUGUGGCAGGUUUGGCCCACAACUUUUGAUCAUUCCAUGCUCAAAAGGGUGCAAAAUUUUGCAAAUUUUUAUCAGAUUUUCAUCGCCAUCGUCGUCAUCAUCGCAACAUUAUUAUCUCCAUCUUCAUACGACCUUUGUAGGUUUUUUUUUUUUGAAUGUUGAUUCUGGGCAGUUAUCAAUUUUCAAUGGCUAUAUUGGUUAGUUCAAUUCAUACGUUUCCCUACCCAAAAAAUAAAACACUCUUAAAUUUUUAUUUUCCAAACUUCUUUCUUCUUACUCUUCAAUAUUUUUUAAUUUUUUUUCUAUUAUUUAUCCGCGGCAUCGCGCGGGUUAGUACACUAGUAUAUAUAUAUAAUACAUGUUUUCUAAUUAAAGUCUAAUUCUAAUUAGAUUAGAAUUACACUCCUAAUUAUAAUCUAUAAAAUAUAUAUGCUAAAUUAAAUCUAAAUUAUAUCCAAUCCCAAAUAAAUUAGGAUUUAACUCUAAUUUAGAUAACUACAAAUCUAAACCAAAUAUAAAAAUAAUUUACUAUAUUUUGGCAACCUGUAUGUAAUUAACCUAAAAAUUUUCGUCUUAUGAGUGGAGGAGGACAUCAGUAAUUAAAGGGCUUUCUUUGCAAAUAGCCCCCUGAAAAAUUUUAUUUGCGCAAAUAGCCCCGUCUAAAAAUUAUUUGCAAAAAUGGCCCUGGCCCUGCCACGCCAGCGCCACGUCAGCGCCACGCGAGCAGGGCCUGGGCCAGGUGGCUAAGUUGAACACGGCAAUUGGUUCACCGUGUUUAGACACGGUGAACCAAUCACCGUGCUCAUUGUAUUACUCCCGCCCACGACGGGGUGUUAGUAUUACAUUAGACACGGUGAUUCGUUCACCGUGUCUAAACACGGUGAACCAUUCACCGCGUCUAAACACGGUGAACUAUUCACCGCGUUUAGACACGGUGAACCAAUCACCGUGUCUAAUGUACUACACACCAUUUCGCGGGUGCCAAAUAAGGCAUAGAACACGGUGAUUGGCUCACCGUUGUAUUAGACACGGUGAACCAAUCACCGUGUCCAAUGUAUCACUCCAGCCCAAGGCGGAGGGUUGGUACCACACUUAAACACGGUCGAUACGUUCACCGGGUCUAAACAUGGUGAACUGUUCACCGCAUUUAGACACGGUAAACGGUUCACCGCGUAUAGGACACGGUGAACGGAUCGCCGUGUCCAAUGCAUGGGCCGGGUGCGGCUGCGAGAAAAUCUAACACGGCCUGGCCCAGUUCGUUAACCAAGCGCCUAUGGCCCAAUAAAGAAAGUCGGGCCAGAUCUAAAAGUGCGGCUGCGAGAAAAUCUAACACGGCCUGGCCCAGGAACCGAAUCAAUGCACGGGCCGGGUGCNCCUGGGCCAGGCCGUGUUAGAUUUUCUCGCAGCCGCACUUUUAGAUCUGGCCCGACUUUCUUUAUUGGGCCAUAGGCGCUUGGUUAACGAACUGGGCCAGGCCGUGUUAGAUUUUCUCGCAGCCGCACCCGGCCCAUGCAUUGGACACGGCGAUCCAUUCACCGUGUCCUAUACAACCCUAUACCCCGAAAAUGGCUAAGUCUGGUAAACCCUAAACCUUCGAAAAUGGUUAAGUCUGGUAAACCCUAAACCUUGAACUAACUGAAUUGGACACGGUGAACCAUUCACCGUGUCCAAUACAACUAGCCACACCUAAGCCGUAUUUGGCCAAAUAUGGAAGUAAAGGACACGGUGAUUAGUUCACCGCGGUGAAUAGUUCACCGUGUUUAGACACGGUGAAUGAAUCACCGUGUUUAGACACGGUGAACGAAUCACCGUGUCUAAUGUAAUACUAACACCCCGUCGUGGGCGGGAGUAAUACAAUGAGCACGGUGAUUGGUUCACCGUGUCUAAACACGGUGAACCAAUUGCCGUGUUCAACUUAGCCACCUGGCCCAGGCCCUGCUCGCGUGGUGCUGAUUUGGCGCUGGCGUGGCAGGGCCAGGACUAUUUUUGCAAAUAAUUUUUAGAUAGGGCUAUUUGCGCAAAUAAAAUUUUUCGGGUGGCUAUUUAAUUGAAAUUUUCGUCUAAUAAGUGAGGGAGGAGGCCAUCAGUAAUUGGUGUAUUCUAGACUCUUUCGUGUCUUCGGGAGGUACAAGGCGUGCUCCUUUUCUUGCUAUGACGAACUCCCACAUCACCAAAGAGAGGGGAAAAAAAAAAAAAAAAGGAGGGAGAAAACACAUUUCUCUCUCCUUUGAUCCUUUCCCGGAAACCAAACAUCGCAUUACAGAAUCUGGCAAUGGCGGGGCAGCGCGCUGGAUGNGGCCAUCAUUUAUAAUGAUGAUGAUUAUCAUCAUAAUCUUUAAAGGCGCUUCGACUUCAUGUGAGGAUGCCUCCGUUGUCGACGGCAUUGGAUCAGCAUCUUCUUGCUCCCUUUCAUAUUUUUUGAUCCUGGCUGAAGUAACUAUCAUCAUUUUUUCUUUUUCUUUUUAUUCUACUUCUCCAUUUCUCUUCUUGAUGCCUCCUCUUCCUCCUCCUUGUUGUUGUUACUGUUACUGUGUUCGUGUUGGUGUUGGUGUUGGUGGUGGUGGUGGUGGGGGUGGGUGGAGCCUACCGUCUCCCCGCCCUAUCCUGAAAGGUUUCAGGAAAACCCACAAAACUUCGCCUUUCGGGGUAAAGAUGUAUAAAACUUUCCGCAACUAUCAUCCUUUUCGAUCUGACUACCUAACAGUUAAAAGUUUGGAUUUUACUACCCGUUCUUUCAAUUUAUUUGAUUUAAGCCGAUUAGUAAGCAACUAUGAAUUCAUUAAAGUAAGCAAUUAGUUUAAAUUUUGAAGUCCGAUUAUCGUUGACCGACUCAAAUCGAACAAAUUGGAAAGUUCGGUGGUAAAAUCAAAAUUCUGGGAGGUCGGGUGGUCGACUCAAAAUGAGGCAUUUAGGUUCUCGCAGUUGGUGCUUGGCAUGGUCAUGGUAAUCUUGGAAGGCUCUGCUCUUCUACAGGCAACCACUUUUCCAUGCGAUGUCUUGUGGUGUACUGCAGUACUGUGUUUCGUACCAAUUUUUCCGUGCAGGUGUUUUGGAGCGGAAAUUGGAAUCAUGGUAGAUCCGACUGGAACCGUUGGGUUUGCUUAGACUUGCUGAAAUCACUUCAAACCGGUGGAAAUCAAUUCAAACCACACCUGCUAAUGUUUCCAAGGAUUUACAUGUUCUUGGUUGCAAUUUCAUCCAAAUCAGUGAUUUGGAGGAUCCGAAACUGGGUGCAAAGGAGGCUGUGAUGGUUGCCAACCUGGGUGCUAAUGCUUUGUCCAAGCCAUUUCUUCUUUACCCAGUGUAUACAGCGAAAACAGCUCUUUUAAUAUCAUUUCUUCUUCGGCAAAUUGGAUGGUCUGCUAAUUUAGCAGGCAACCUUAUGCUAGCAUCCAUUGUUAUGGUGCAUGGAUUUUAUGAUGCUUUCUGAGUAAGGCCGGGGAAAUGGUUGUGAACAAACAAAUUGAGGCUUUCGGUGGGUCUCUUGCUGUGUCAUCAACCAUAAUAUUGAUUAGCGACAUAUUGCCGUUCACUCAACUUAAUUGGCUUGUGAGACUUGAUAGCAACAAUCAAGAAAGUUCGAGUCGAAAUUGCAACAAUUAUAUUUUGAGGACUAAAGUGUUACCUGCCUCAUUGUUUGAGGACCAAAAGUGUAAUUUAGCCUUAUUUUAUCUAACAAACCACUGAGCAGGUAAGAAUUUUCUUGCUAAAUUGCAUGUUUGGUCCUCAAACAAUGUGUAACACUUUGGUUCUCAAACUUUAAUCUGUUACAAUCUAGCCUGAACUUUUUGAAUUGUCGCAAUCAAGUCCUGCAAUCCAAUUUAGAUGACUAAAUAUUGAUGCAUCAUUGAUGUAAUAGUGAUGUGACAUUUUAUUUUUUGUCUCAUCAUCAAUUACCAUAUUGCUACCGUCACUUUCACAUUACCGACAUAUCAAUAUUUAGUCAACUAAAUUAGAUUGUAGGACUUGAUUGCAACAAUUUGAAUCAGAAAUUACAAUAAAUUAAUGUUUGGUCCUUGUCAUGUGUCUCAAAGUUUGAGGACAAAAUGUGCAAUUUACCCUAAUUUUCCUCAUCUCAGUGGCAGCUCUCAAUUGGAAGGUCUGCUGUUUUGCAGGCAACCUUGUUCUGUCAUUUGUCUUCAAGGUGCAUAAGACUCUCAUGAUGCCUCUUGAUAUGAUCAAAUGGCAUGUUGAACCCUCUCUUUCCUUCUACUUGAAACAUUCGUUCUACUUUCUUUUCAGCUUUUAAUAUUUCUCAUGUCGACCGUCCGUGUGUCCUCAUGUUGACUGUAUGCUUCAAUCAGACAGGCACUUAAUGUUUUAUCCCAUGUUAAGUAUUUUUUUCCCUUCAUUUUACUUGUCAAAGGAGGCUGUGAUGAUUGUCGGUUGGGAAUGCACCUCAGCUUAUUUUAUCCCGGCUUUUGCUUCUCGGCGGAGUACAGAAGCUGAUAAGGAUACUGGAUAUAAGAGGCAAUAUAGUCAACUCAAACCUAAGAUUUUGGUUGGGUUUUGACAAGUCGGGUGGGAUUUGAAUCUGGUUUGUUAGUUUGCUUUGUCCUUUUACAACCCUUGGGAGCCUUUCACUUUGUUCAUUUGUGGGAUAGACAACAUCUCAGUGGGUGGUUUUUGGCUGACAUGAUGCACCAGGUGCAGGCAAUAAUUUUUCCUUUCUGGGCAGCUCGUGAGGCCAACAUUAAGUACCCGUAGCAGUAUUUAAUUGGAAGGCCUUGCAGGCAAGCCUAUGCUGUCACGUCUUUAAGGUGCAUGAGAUUACAAGAUCCCUCAUGUGGUGAUUAAGCGGCAUGUCUGAGUCUCCAUUUUAUUUUCCUACUUCCUUUUUAGCUAUUGAGAUUUGGUUGUUCACGUUUGUUUUCCCCCUCGCUUUCUUACUGCAUAUAGAAGCUAGGAUGGGUUGUUUUAAAUAUUCCUUAUCAAACCGUUGAAACAUGACUUCAUGCUGGUUGAUGGUAAAUUUUCUAUCCUAUAUGUAUUCAGAUCAGAGGGAAUUUGUUAAUCUUUCGGAUUUUGAUAAGAACUAAAUAUAAGAAAGAUUUGGAUGCUAGGUAUAUAAAUAUUUGGGUUAAUUUCUUCAAUCCCUUCCUUAAAGAUUGUAAUUUCAUAAAGACUCCUUCAAAUUGUAAAGGGUUUAGGGUUGCAUGCAUACAUCUCUCUCUUUUGCAUCUGAUCGACAUCAAGUUUCUAUAUUUAUAUUGGGUUUCUUUGCAUUUUAAAGUUAUACAAAAUUGUUGCAGGGCAUGCAAUCAAAACGGUUGCUCAAUCAAUAGCUUCACUUGAGCCCUAUUAUGUUAUUUGAUAAAGUUUUGGGAUUUAUUUGUUAAAAAGUAGAAGUUUUAGCACCUGUUUGCAAAAGUGUUAGAGUUUAGGGAGGCUUUGUACAUUGUUUCAAUUAUUAAUGUUUACUAAAAAAUGUAUGUUGGGCGCAAACAUUGCAUCCUUUUGGGCUAUUUAGAGAGGCAAAAUACUGUGAGCCCUCAAUUACGGAUGUAUGGGUAUGCCUUCGAGGCGAUACGAGCUAGAGAGCCUAUGUUGGGGGAAAAACAAAGUACUGGGCGUGCUCCCUUCUUGCUGCAAGCUCCUCUGUCUCUUCACUCCCACACUGAGAAACCAAACACCCCCUUAGAGAAUCUGGUAUUGGCGGGGCAGCAUUGGAUGGUUUGCUGUUUGUAGGCUACUGAGCUGCAGCCAUUAUUCCAGAAUUGGUGCGGCAACGGCAGCGGUGGCGAUCAUUUUGUGGCCAUCAUUUAUAAUGAUGAUGAUUAUCAUCAUAAUCUUUAAAGGCGCUUCGACUUCAUGUGAGGAUGCCUCCGUUGUCGACGGCAUUGGAUCAUCAUCUUUUUGACACCUCUCAUAUAUUUUGAUCCUGGCUGAAGUAACUAUCAUCAUUUUUCUUGUACUUAGCCAUUCUUUGCUUGAUGCCAUUUUGUUGUUAUUGUUAUUAUUAUUAUUAUUGUUAUUGUUAUUGUCGUAGUGGUGGUGGUCGUGCAGGUGGGUGGAGUCUGCUCUCUCUCUGCCCCCUGUGAAAAGGGAAACCCACAGAACUUCGUUCUGUGGGGUUGACCAAGCCUUCUCUCUCUCUCUCUCUCUCUCUCUCUCUCUCUCUCUCUCUCUAUAUAUAUAUAUAUAUAUAUAUAUAUAUAUAUAUAUAUUGAGUUCGGCUAUGGUGCUUUUAAAAGCACCAAGCACUUGGUCCUUGUAAGUUUUUGUAAGUUUCCCAUUGUUAGAUUUAUCUCUUUGACCAAUUCCACCCCUAAGAUUAUACUAUUCGACCAACUACCCGCUCAAAUCUUGGGGACAACUAUUAUCCUAACCCUACAAAUCUUCAUCCUAGGCCGAAAACCUACAAGCACCAAUGACUUGGCACUUUUAAAAGCAUAGGAGCUCAAUUCUAUCUAUCUAUCUAUCUAUCUAUCUAUCUAUCUAUAGACAUAUAUGUAUAUAUAUACAGUUUGUGUGUGGGGAAUAUAAGGGGAAAAAAAACAACAAUCAUGCCACAUGAGGCAUUAAGUUUUCAGCGGUUGGUGCAUGGCAUGGUAAUAUUGGAAGGCUUUGCUUCUCUGCAGGCAACUAUUUUUUCAUGUGAUGUCUUGCUUAGACUUGCUGAAAUUAUUGAGAACAAGCUUAUUAAAGCUUUCGAUGAGUCUCUUUCCACGUCAACAACCACAACACUGUCACAUUACUGUUGCAUUAGUGGGACAUUACCGAAAGUAAGUUGGCCUAUGAAACUUGAUUGCAACAAUCAAAAAAGUUUGAGCUAGAAAUUGCAGCUAUUAUGGUUUGAGGACCAAAAGUGUAAUUUAGCCUUAUUUUAUAUAACAAACGACUGGGCAAGCAAUAAUUUUCCAAUCUCGGCACCUAUAACUGCACUCAAUUGGAAGGCCUGCUAUUUUGCAGGCAACCUUGUUAUGUCGGUUGUCUUCAAGGUGCAUAAGACUAUAUGAUGCCUCUUGAUAUGAUCGAAUGGCCAGUCGGAGCCUCUCUAUCCUUCUACUUCCUUUUCAUCUAGUAAUAUUUCUCAUGCUGACUGUCGAUGUUCUCAUGCUGACUGUAUGCUUCAAUUAGACAGGCCCUUAAUGCUUCAUGCAAAUGUUAAGGAAGCGUCUCUCCUUUAUGUUACGUUUCGAAGGAUGUUGUGAUGAUUGGCGGUUGCGAAGGCACCUCAACUUGUUUUUUUCUUGGCUUUUGAUUCUUAGAGCGUGUUUGGUUCACUUCUUUUUCACUCUGGAAUCGAAAUCGGAAUGGGUGAAUCUGUUUGUGGGUGUUUGGUAUGCGGGAGUUCCAUUCCCAUUCCUAUUCCCGAGUGGGAUGGGAAUCCCCUAAUCAUCUCUUUUUCCAAUCCGGUCUAGUAGGCCGGAUUGACAGUUGAAUCCAGACGGAAUGGAUAUUUAUUCGGAUUAAAUUAAUUUUUUCAACUUUUUUAAAUUAAAAUAUGAGUUUAAAUUUAGAAAUUAAAUUUAUAAUUUUAAAUUUUAAUUUGAAUUUGAAUUAAAAAUUAAAAUUUAAUCAAUUAUUUUGAAUCUAACUUAUAAAUUUGAAUUUAAAUUAAAUUUUAAUUUAUAUAAAGUUUUAUUCAAAUUUUAUUUAAAACUUAAAUUAAAUUUAUGGAUUCAAAUUAAAAUUAAAAUUGUAAUUUUAAGUUUGAAUUUGAAUAAAUCGAAAUUUAGUUUUAUAUUUUGAAUUAUCCACUCAACUUCAAAGUUUAAUUUUUUAAAAAAAAAUAGAUUUAAAAUUUUGACAUUAUUUCAAAAUUUUGAUGUAAAUUUUUAAUAUUUAAUUUUCAGUUUGAAUUUAAAUUAAUAUAUUAUAAAGAUAAAGUUAGUAUAUUAAUUUGAUUACGUUUUUUAUAUCUAUCUGAACAAAACACCGACAAUGGGAAUGAUUUAUUCCGAUUCCGAUUCAGGUAAUGAAUCAAACAGAAUUAGGUAAUGAGUCAUUCCAAUUCUGAUUUCAGCUUAUUUCGAUUCCGAUUCUGAUUCCGAUUCCAACUUCGAACCAAACGCGCCCUUAAUGGAGUGCAGAAGCUGAUCGAAAUACUGGAUAUAAGAGGUAGUAUGGUCAACCCUAAAAACUGCACUUUUGCAUUAAAAAAAAUCCCUUUCAUGAAUAACUGUAGAAACGGAUGGUCUGCACUUUUGCAGGCAACCUAGCAGUUACAUGCUGUUUUUUGUGGUUUGUACUUUUAAGCUGUUUCUUUGCGACAUCAUUUGCCUAGUGAUCAAGCAAUGCCAAAUACAUCGUAUAUUAGACAUUAAAAUUGUUGAUUUCUGGACAACUUGACUACUUAGCAAAUGAUAUCAAAGAAUGAUGAAGUUUGAAACCUAGAAAGUUGAAAUAUCCUAGAUCAUGUUUGACGGUGCUGAUGGUCUAUCCAGAUGCCCCAUUAUCGGAAAUGACACGGAAGUGAGCUGUACUUGUAGAAGUAUUCUAGCCUCUCCUUUUCUCUCUCUCUCGAUCUCGAUUUUCUAGGUUGAAAUAUAGAGCAAAAAGUUGGUGGUGGCACUAUUAUGGAUCAAUAAGGUCUAAGGUUCACUUCUUGAAGAUCCCCCUGCUCCCCCCCCCCCCCUUCAAAAAUAAACAAAAAAAAAACACACACACACACACACACACACACACACACACACAAAAAGGAAAAAAAAAAAACUCAAAAUGCAGUUCCUCGUGGAAACUGGCUCCUGCUCGGCAUGCUAUCUUGAACGGCUAGCUCCGAUGCAGACAACCAAUAUUUGCAUCUAUACAGGGGAUUUUAAUCCUCAGUUUGCUAUUUUGAAGCAACAAGUGUCGGAUUGUACGUUAUCUGAAUGUACAUGUUCUUUGAGGAAUGGCUAUGAUGACUGCCUGGAUGCACCAGAACUGAAGCAUUUGACUGAAACGUAGCUUGGCAAUCUUUGGAAGGCUUGCAAUUCUGUGAGCAACCAUUAUGCAGCUGUUUGUGUAGUUCUGUGAAGAUUCUGAUGAAAAGGCCAGAUCUGAGCCACCUCCCUUCUCAGCAUCAUCUUCGUUAAAUUAUGAAAAGCUUUCUUGUACUUUAUCCUCUGUCACAAUUAUCUAACUGCUCGAGAAAGAUGGACUGUAGACAACCGUCCGCUUGUAGACAUCUUUGACUCUAUGGUAAACAGUUGCGACAUGUUUGUUGGGUAAAUGAAAGAAAUAUGUUGAACAAGAUGGUUGUGUGUCGAAAGAAAUGAUCUGUGCUGCUGUUUAAAGCUGCAUUCUUAUGUCUUUCCAUGUGGCAGCUGUGAUGAUUGCCAAGUAUGGAAGCAUCAAAACCCUUGAACAUUAGACUACACUUUGAUCUGCACAGCGUGGCAACUUUUGGACGGCUUGUUUAGCAAGCAUCCAUUUUGCGUUUGUAUGUGUAGUUCGCAAAUGCUCAUAAAAAUGGGGUGAAAAUGUGCAGAACUUAUCUGAACUAUGGACCAUUUCGAGAAAGGCAGAUUGUAGACAACCGUCCGCAUGUUUGUUGUGUAGACAUCUUAGACUCUAUGGUUAACAAUUGCGGCAUAUUUGUUGGGUAAAUAAAAGAAAUAUGUUGAUGGUCAUGUGUCAAUAGAGGCUCUAAAUUUGCACUUUUGUUCUGCGCCACAAAUGAGCUGUGCUGCUGUUGAAAGAUGCAUUGUUACCUCUUUCUAUGUGGUGGCUGUGAUGAUUGCCAUGUAUGGAUGCACCAAAUCCCUACAACAUUUGACUAAACUUUGAUCCGCACAGCUCGGCAACCUUAGGAAGGCUUAUUUUGCAAGCAUCCAUUUUGCUUUGUAUGUGUAGGUUUGCGAAUGCACACAAAAAUGGCAGAUCUGAGCCACAGCGUCUAAAUAUCUCCUUUUCCUUGUUUAGAACUAACAAUUUUUUACCCCUUGCUUGCUCUUGUUUAAAGAACUUCUGUUUGCUAAAUCGCCUCUUGCAACAAGGUGGUUAGUUGAUAAGAGGAAAAAUGUUCCUUUAUGACAAUAUAUGUUUUUGAAGUUUAGUGGUGAUAAUUACACCGCAGUUGGAGGGGGUUUGGCAUAUUUUUGUCUUUAAAUAUGGCCCGCAGGUAGUGUAGUUUUAACAGAGCAUUAGACCUGCCUGGCAGGAACAUUGGAUGGCCUGCUUAUAUGCUGGCAACCAAUUUUUGAUGCUGUAAGCUGGAGUUUGUACCGAGGUUCGUAUUAUUAGCGUUGAGCAUCGCGAUGUAACUUUUUGUAGUUGUACAGAGCCGAAGAAUUGCUCUUUUGCAUCCUUCUUCCUUAGUGGGUAAUCAAAAUUUCCACAAAAUUGGAACUUCAAAUCUCACUUCUUUCAAGUUUAUCCCCAAACCGGUUUUCUAUAAAAAUAAACUGAACAUGCGACUUCGGCAAUGCUGAGGACUCAUAGGGGUGACACGGUCGAAUACGGUCGGAUUUUUGAUGAAACCAUAUCCGUAUCCAUUUCGUAGGCUAAUUCGGGUAUGAUGAUGUUGGAUUCGAUCGGAUUUUAUCCUAACCAUUUUCACCCCUACUUGUGGUACAUUUAUUCAGAGGAAAAAUACUCUUGAGCCCUCCAAUGAGGGAUGGACGGAUGGAUGGACGGACGGGUACAUCGCUAAGGCGAUACGAAAGAGAGAACCCUGCGUUGGGGACAAGCAGAAAUGCAGGGAUGCUCCCUUCUUCCUGUAAGUCCCUCUGUCUCCUACUCUCUUCCACCCCAAAAAAAGGAAAAAAAAAAAAGAAAGAAAGAAGAAAGUCAUUUGUCUCGUUUCCCAUCUCUUCCUUUCCUCAAGUGUUUUUAGGUUAGACAGGGAAUGUGGUAAUGGCGGGGCAGUUCUGGACGGUCUGCUCUUCUGCAGGCUACUGAGCUGCAGCCAUUACUCCGGAAAUACAUUGGCGGGAGUGACGGUGGUCAUUCAUAAUGAUGAUGAUGAUGAUGAUGAUGAUGAUGAUGAUGAGGAUUAUAACCUUUGAAGGUGCUUCAGCUUUGUCUGAGGAUGCUUCCGGUGUCAAUGGCACUGGAUCAUGUUCCUCUUGAUACCUCACCUAUCUUCUUGAUACCUCACCUUUUUCUUGAUCCUCAUUAAAGCAGCUAUCAUUUCCUCCUACUUCCUUUCUUGAUGCCCUAUUGUUGUUGUUGUUGUUGUUGUUGUUGUUGUUGUUGUUAUCAUUAUUAUUAUUAUUAUUAUUAUUGUGGUGGUGGUGGUGGUGGGGGUGGAUGGAGUCUACCAUCUCCCUGCCCCUUCGUAAAAAGGGAAGCUUUCGUUUCUCGGGGUUGACCGAGCCCACACAUAUAUAUGUGUGUGUGCGCGCGUGCGCUUUUAGAAGCAUAUACUUUGAACUUUUGGACCCUUGGAUCCCUAUGGUUUACUAGCUAGUGAUGGUUAAAGUACGGAUCCAAGGGCUCAAAAGUUUAAGUUGUAACUUCUCAAAGCAGCAUAAGCUCUAUUCUAUAUAUAUACACACACACACACUGUUGGUGUUUGAGGGUUGGAAAAAAAAAAAACAACAGGAACAAUUCUAGAUGAGGGCUAAAGUUUCAGCAGAAGGUGGAUAGCAUGGUUAUCUUGGAAGGCUCUGCUGUUCUGCAGGCAAGCAUUAUUCUAUGUGAUGUCUUGCGAUGUACGAGAAGAGAUAUCUAUUCCUUUUUCUCAUGCAAUACUCUGUUUGGUGCCAAAUCAUUAUAGAAUUGAAUAUAUUUGCAAUUCCAUGAGGGCAUUUGUAUUGCAGAAAAUGCAAACUAUGGCAAAUCUGACCACAAACCAGUGGAUUUGCUUUAUCGGAAAUAAAUUUAAAGUACACCUGCUAAUGUCUACAAGGAUGAACCAGUUCUUCUUGGCAAUUUCAUCCAAAUCAGUGAUUUGGAGGAUUCCAAACAGGGAAUGAACAAGGCUUCGAUGAUUGCCAAUCUGGUUGCCCACAGUUUGCCCUUGCCGUUUCUUCUUUACCAUUGUACAGUGUAAACAUCUCUUAUAAUAUCAGUUGUUCCGUAAAUUGGAUGGUCUGCUAAUUUAGCAGGCAACCUUUGAAGCUUUUGAUGAGUCUCUUGCCAUGUUAUCAAUCACAGUACUUCUACAUCACUCCCUUAUCAGUGAUACAUCAUUUAUUCUACUAAAUUGGACUAUGGAACAUGUUGCAACAAUCAAGAAAUGUUGAUUCAGAAGUUGCAACAAAUUAAAGUUUAAGGACUAAAGUGUCAUCCGCCUUAUUGUUUGAGGACCAAACGUGUAAUUUAGCCUUAUAUUAACUUACAAAGCACCCAGGAUAAAAAGAAAGUACUGGAUUUUUUUUUUCCCCCUAGAGAAGCUUUCAAUGGCUUGCGAUGCAUCUGCUGUAUGCAAUAAUUUUCCUAUCUCAGCUGCUCACUAGGGCAGCCUUGCGGGGUAGCUGUAGCAGCACUCAAUUGGAGGGUCUGCUGUUUUGCAGGAAACCUUGUUCUAUCAUAUGUCUUUAAGGUACACAAGGUUACAUAAUGCCUGAUCGAAUGGCAAGUCGGAGCCUCUCUUUCCUUCUACUAUCUUUUCAACUAUCAAUAUUCUCAUGCUGACUGUAUGAAUGUCCUCAUGUUGACUGUAUGUUUCAAUCAGACAGGCCCUUAAUGUUUCAUGCUAUGCUAAAGAAGUGUUUCUCCUUCAUUUUAGUUGUCAAUGGAGGCUGUGAUGAUUGCCGGCUGGGGAUGCACCUCAGCUUCUUUUAUCCUUGCUUUUGACUCUUGGCGGAGUAAAGAAGCUGAUCGAAAUACUGGAUAUGAGAGGCAAUAUAGUCAGCUCAAACCAAACAUGUUUGUUGGAUUUUGACAAUUCUGGUGGGAUUUGAGUCUGGUUUGUUGGUUUUCUUGGUCCUUUUACGCUCCUUGACAGCCCUUUGCUUCGUUCCUUUGGGUGGUCUUGGGUGACAUGAUUCACCGGGUGCAGACAAUAAUUUUUCCUUUCUAAGCAGCUAUAAGGCCAACAUCAGCUACCUGUAGCAGUACUUAAAUUGGAAGGUCUGCGGUCUUGUAGGUAACAUUAUGCUGUUACGUCUUCAAGGUGCAUAAGAUUGCAGGACCCCUCAUAAGAUAUGAUUAAAUGGCAUAUCUGAGCCUCCAUUUUCUUCUCCUAAUUCAUUUUUUGCUAUUCAGUGGUACACUCUUCCCUCACCACCCCCCCCCCCCCCCCCNNNNNNNNNNNNNNNNNNNNCCCCCCCCCCCCCCCCCCCCCCCCCCCCCCCCCCCCCCCCCCCCCCCCCCCCCCCCCCCCCCCCCCCCCCCCCCCCCCCCCCCCCCCCCCCCCCCCCCCGCUCCUCUGGCUUUCUUGCUGCAUGUAGAAUCUAGGAUGGGUUGUUUCAUAUUUUCCUUAUCAACUUCCUGGAACCCUGCGUAAUGCUGGUUGAUGACAACUGGAUAGUUGUUCGGGGGUCUAUUUCAAAAUGGCCUAUAGUUGUGGGGAUCAUCAUACUAUUUAUCCUUCUCAAUAUAUUUGAGGGUUAUCCCAAUAUUGUGACUUAGUCCUCGAACCUAUUCCGUAAACACUUGUCCCUUAUCUUUCACAUAUUCUUGCAGUUCAUCCCUGGCCAUCACUUUGGUCCAUAUGUUCCAGGCAAGAUCUCUCAUUAGCACGCUUCAGUGUAAUUUAAUCACUAGAGGAUUGGCGCGUGAGUCGUAAUUGGGGGCAAGAAGAAGUACAGGGCAUGCUCCCUCCUUUGUAUAAGCCCCGCUGUCUACUUUCUCUUGCACCACAAAAAGCAGAAGAAAAAAAGAAAACAUUUUAAUGUUGAUAUGGGAUGGUGAUAAUAGUUUAAGAAGCUUCGGCUUCAUUUGAGGAUGCCUCCUAUGUUGAUGGCGUCAGAUUGCCAUCUUCUUGAUUCCUCUCAUAUUUCUAGAUUCUAGCUAAAGCAACUAUUAUCUUUUUUUUUAAUUACAUCUCCAUUUCUCUUCUUGAUGUCUUAUUUUUUUCUUCUUCUUCUUCUUGUUAAUUGCUGCUGUUAUUGUUAAUUUUACUAUAGUGGUGGUGGUGGUGGGUGGAGUCUAUCGUCUCCCCAUCCCCUCCCGAAAGGGAAAACCCAAAAAACUUCGCUUUUCGGUUUUGACCAAGCCUUCAUUCUUGGUUUUGGCUGUAUAUAUAUAGAGAGAGAGAGAGUUUGCGAUUAACUAUUUAACCCUUGGAUUUCAGCAGUAGGUGCAUGGCAUGGAAAUCUUGGAAGGCACUACUCUUCUACAGGCAACCAUUUUUCCAUGUGAGGCCUUGAAUGUACCAGAAGAUAUAUCUACUCCUUUUCUAAUGUAAUACUCUGUUUGGCACCAAAUCGUUGUAGAAGUGAGUAUAUUUGCAAUCCUGUGAGGGCAUUUUUGGAGCAAAAAUGCAAAUUAUGGUAGAUCCGACCACAAACCAGUGGAUCUGCCUAGAAUUGCUGAAAUCAUUUGAAACCAUUGAAAAUCAAUUCAAUCCACACCUGCUAAUGUUUCCAAGGAUUAACGAGUUCUUGUUUGCAAUUUCGUUCAAAUCAGUGAUUCAAAGGAUUCUAAACAGGGUGCAAAGGAGGCUGUGAUGGUUGCCAACCUGGGUGCCAACGGUUUGUCCAAGCCAUUUCUUCUUUGCUGAGUGUACAAAAUAAACAGCUCUUUUAGUAUCAGUUCUCCUUUGGUAAAUUGGAAGGUCUGCUAAUUUAGCAGGCAACCUUUACCACCAUAUAUUAUAAUGGUGCAAGAAUUAUAUGAUGCCUUUUGAAUAAAGUGGGGGAAAUGGUUGAGAACAGACUAAUUGAAGCUUUAGGUGGGUCUCUUGUGAUGUCAUCGACAACAAUACUGCCACAUUACUGCUACAUAUGUGAGACAUCACCAUCCACUCAACUAAAUUGGCUUGUGAGAUUUGAUUGCAACAGUCAAGGAAGUUCGAGACAGAAAAUUGUAGCAAUUAUAGUUUGAGGGCCAAAGUGUCACCCGCCUCAUAGUUUGAGAACCAAAAGUGUAAUUUAGCCUUUAUUUUAGCUAACAAACCACUGAGGGUGAAAAGACAGCGUUUUCUAGGAACUGGCUCCUGUGAUGCACCAGGUGCAGGCAAUAAUUUUCCUCUCUAUGCUAUGUGUGGCAGCACUCAAUUGGAAGGUCUGCUGUUUUGCAGGCAACCUUGUUCUGUCCUUUGUCUUUAAGGUGCAUAAGACUACAUGAUGCCUCUUGAAAUGUUCGAAUAGCAGGUCAGAGCCUCCCUUUCUUGCUUUCUUUUCAGCUAAAAUGUAUAUCGUGCUGACCGUCCAUAUGUCCUCGUGCUGGCUGAAUGCUUCAAUUGGACAGACCCUUAAUGUCUUGUGCAAUGGUAAGGAAAUAUUUCUCCUUCAUUUUACUUGCCAAAGAAUGCUGUGAUGAUUGCCAAUUGGGAAGGCACGUCAACUUAUUUUAUCAUGCCUUUUGACUCUCGGCAGAGCACAAAAGCUGAUUGAAAUACUAGAUUUAAGAGGCAAUAUAGUCAGGUCAAACCAAAGAUCUUGAUUGGGUUUUGAUAAUUCGAGUGGCAUCUGAAUCUUGUUUGUUGGUUAGCUUGGUGCUUCUACACCCCUUGAGUGCCCGUCACACACUUGUAUGCUGAUUCAGAUGUGGAUAUCCAAGCAUACAUCUCUCUUUCUCUCUCUCUCUUUGUCACGCCCCAGUUUCUUGGAGCGCCACCCAUUCUAGAACUACUCUAGCCGUAGGUUUGCUCAACCCUCUUAACCUUUUGGGCUUAGCCGCUGCUCAAAAUGGUAUUGCUAGGUUAAGAGGUUUAUCUCUAUAAUACCUUAUAUAUAGGACUUCCAAAUCCUAGGGGUGUCACAUUCUCCUCUCGGUUACCUGCUUCCCUCUUUUAGGCUCUGACGUCCUCUCAGGUUCAAACACACUCACAAGCACCGCCGAUGUGAGACUCGUCUUCCUAGCCUUAGAUAACCUUGUGGGGAGCCGCGCUCCACCCACAAUGGCCGUCAGUCGGAGAGCCGUGCUUUUGCCCGUUUUAUGACCCUGGCUCAGCCAAGGAUCAUCUCACACUUAUGGUUGGUGAUUGGCUUUGAUACCAACUGACGCCUCGCUUCCCAGAGGGGUCAUCCAUCCAAGAACUACUCUAGCCUUAGGCUUGCUCAAUCCUCUUAAUCUCUUAGGCCUAGUCACUGCUCAAAAUGCUAUAGCCGGGUUAAGAGGUUUAGCCCUACUAUAUCUUAUAUAUAAAACUAUUCCAAAUCCCGGGAGUCUCCCUCCCCCUCUCCCCCUCCCACCCCCCCCUCCUGAUUGUCUCAUGCCCUAAUGACCAUUUAUAGUCAUAAUCUAUUUCAAGUAAUUUUGGAUUCGAUCAAAUAUCAUAUUUCUAUUUGUUAUAUAAAAUUAUGUGCAAGGCAUGUGAUCAAAACAGUAGCUCAAUUAGUAACUUCACCUGAACAGAGGGGUUCACUAAACUAUUUGAUAAAGUUUUUGCGGUUUUGUUGCCAAAAAGUAAAAGUUUAGGCUCCUGUUUGCAAAAGUGUUAAAGUGCAGAGUACUAAUUUUUGAUGUUUAUAUAUCUAAAAUCAUUUUCUUAAAAUGUAACUGGAAAUUGCCAAGCAGCUCUGGACUGUCUGCUCUUCUGCAGGCUACAGAGCUGCAGCCAUUAUUCCAGAAAUGUUGUGGCGGCGGCGGCUGCAGCUGCAGUUGGUGAUCAUUCAUAAUGAAGAUGAGGAUGAUGAUUAUAACCUUUAAAGAGGCUUCUACCGCAUCUAAAGAGGCCUCCUAUGUCGAUGGCAUCUGAUUGUCAUAUUCUGAUACGGUGAUACCUCUCGUAUUUCUCAAUCCUCGCUUAACUAUCAUCAAUUUUUUUUUCUACUUCUCCAUUUCUCUUCAUGAUGACUUGUUGUUGUUGCUGCAGCUGAUGGUGUUCUUGUUAUUGUUGCUGUUGUUAUUAUUAUUGUUAUUGAGGUCGUGGGGUUGGAGGUGGGUGGAGUCUGAAUGUCUCCCCGCCCCUUCCUGAAAGCCGAAACUUAGAAAACUUCGCUUUGCUGGGUUGACUAAGCCUUCAUUCUUGGUUCUGGUUAUAUAUAUCUAUAUAUAUAUAGAUAUAGAUAUAGAUAUAUAGAAACAGCUUGUAUUUGGGGGACAAAAAGGACAAAACAAACAGCAAUGAAACCAAAUGAGGCGUUAAGUUUACAGUAGUAGUUGCAUGGCAUGGUAAUUUGGAAGGCUCUGCUUUUCCGCAAGCAAUCAUUUUUCCAUGUCUUUUCUUUUUUAUACUUGGUGAAAUGGUUGAGAACAAACUGAUUGAAGCUUUUGGUUGUCUCUUGCGAUGUCAUCAACCACAAUGCUGCCACAUUACUGCUAUAUUAAUGAGACAUCACCAUUCACUUAACCAAAUUGGCCUGUGAGACUUGAUCGCAACAAUCAAGAAAGUACGAGCUACAAAUUGCGGCUAUUAUUGUUUGGGGACCAAAGUGUCACCUGCCUCAUAGUUUGAGGACCAAAAGUGUAAUUUAGCUUUAUUUUAUCUAUCAACCCUUGGAACAGGCAUUAAUUUUCCUAUCUCAGCACUCUGUUGGAAGGUCUGCUGUUUUGCAGGCAACCUUGUUCUGUCAUUUGUGAUGCCUCUUGAUGUGAACGAAUGGCAGGUCGGAGCCUCUCUGUCCUUCUACUUUCUUUUCACUGUUGAUAUUUCUCAUGCUGACCGUCCAUAUGUCCUCAAUCCUCUUGCUGACUGUAUGCUUCAACCGGAAGGCCCUUACUGUUUCAUGCAAUAUUAAGGAAGUGUUUUUCCUUCGUUGUACUUGUCAAAGGAGGCUGUGAUGAUUGCCACUUGGGAAUGCACCUCAACUUCUUUAAUCCUUGCUUUGGAUUCUCGGCGUAGUGUAGAAGCUGACCAAAAUACUGGGUAUAAGAGGCAAUAUAGUCAACUCAAACCUGAGACCUUGGUUGGGUUUUGACAGUUCGGGUGGGAUUUGAAUCUUUUUUUCUUUUUUUUUUUAAUUUUAUAUUUUAGUCCUUUUACACCCCUUGAGAGGCCUUUACGUGGUUCAUUUGUGGGAUAGACAGCAUCUCAGUGGAUGGCUUUUGGCUGACAUGAUCACCUGGUGUAGGCUAUAAUUUUUCCUUUCUCAGCAGCUCAUAUAACCAACAUUAAGUACCUGUAGCAGGACUUAAAUUGGAAGGUCUACUGUCUUGGAUGCAACAUUUUGCUGUCGUGUCUUUAAGGUGCAGAAGAUUGCAAGAUCCCUUGCGAGAUGAUUAAGUGGCAAAUCUGAGCCUCCAUUUUCUUCUCCUACUUUCUUUUAGCUAUUAGGAUUUGGUGGUACAUUAUUUAUUUUUCCCAUUUUUUCUUUUCCUCCUCUGGCCUUCUUACUGCAUGUAGAACCUAGGUGGGUUGUUUUCAAAUAUUCCUUAUCUACUACCUGAAAUGUGACACUCUACUUCAUGCUGGUUGAUGCUAAAUCAUUUAUCCUGUAUGUCUUCAGAUUUAGGCAACUUGUUAGUCUUUUAGAUUUUGAAAAGAACUAAAAACAGAUAAAGAUUCGGAUGUUUGGCAUGUAUAUCUGUAUAUUUGCAUGCUGAUUCAAAUGUGGGUAUCCAGCAUACUUGUAUAUCUACUUUUCCAUUUCUCUUCUUGAUGCCUUGUUGUUGUUGCUGCUGCUGCUGUUGUUAUUCUUGUUAUUAUUAUUAUUAUUACUAUUGUUAUUGUUAUUGUGGUCGCAAUGGUGGUGGUAGAGGUGGGGUGGAGUAUCGUCUCUCCGCCCCUUCCUGAUGGGGGAAACCCACAAAAAUUUGCUUUUCGGGUUGACCAAGCCUUCAUUCUUGGUUCUGGUUCUAUAUAUAUAUAUAUACAUACAAACUGUUUGUAUAUAGAGGAAAAAAGAAAAAGAAAAAAGCAACGAAACCAAAUGAAGCCUUAUUAAGGUUUCAGUGGAAGGUGCAUGGCAUGGCAAUUUUGGAAGGCUCUGCUUUUCUGCGAGCAACCAGUUGUCCAUGUGUUGCCUUGCUUAGAUUUGCCGAAAUGGCUGAGAGCAAACAAAUUGAAGCUUUCGAUGGGUCUCUUGGUUGUCAUCAACCACAAUACUGCUGCAUUACUGCUACUUUAGUGAGACCACCAUUUACUCAACAAAAUUGGCCUAUGAGACGAUUGCUACAAUCAAGAAAUUUUCGAGCCAGAAACUGCAAGUAUUAUAGUUUUGAGGACCAAAGUGUCAUCUGCCUCAUAGUUUGAGCACCAAAGUGCAAUUUAACCUUAUUUUAUCAAACGAACCAAGGAACAGGCAAUAAUUGUCCCAUCUCACCUGCCUGUGGCAGUACUCAAUUGGAACUCAAUUGGAAGGUCUGUUGUUUUGCAGGCAACCUUGUUCCAUCAUUUAUCUUAAAGGUGCAUAAGAAUACACGAUGCCUCUUGAUAUGAUUGAAUGGCAGGUCAGAGCCAACUUCUUUCAUCCUCUCUUUUGUUAUACUUGUCAAAGGAGGCUGUGAUGAUUGCCACUGGGGAAUGCACCUCAGCUUCUUUAGUCCUUGCUUUUGAUUCUUGUUGGAGUGCAGAAGCUGACCAAAAUACUAGGUAUAAGAGAGUCAACUCAAACCUGAGACCUUGGUUGGGUUUUGACAGUUCAGGUGGGAUUUGAAUCUGGUUUUUUUUGGUUAUUUUGGUUCUUUUACACCCCUUGAGACGCCUUUGCAUGGUUCAUUUGUUGGAUAGACAGCAUCUCAGUGGAUGGCUUUUGGCUGACAUGAUCACCUGGUGCAGGCUAUAAUUUUUCCUUUCUCAGCAGCUCAUAUAUGACCAACAUUAGGUACCUGUAGCAGGACUUAAAUUGGAAGGUCCACUGUCUUGGAUGCAACCUUUUGCUGUCGUGUCUUUAAGGUGCAGAAAAUUACAAGAUCCCUUGCGAGAUGAUUAAGCGGCAUAUCUGAGCCUCCGUUUUCUUCUCCUACUUUCUUUUUAGCUAUUAGGAUUUGGUGCUACAUUCUUUAUUUUUCCUUUUUUUUCUUUUCCUCCUCUGACCUUCUUACUGCAUGUAGAACCUAGGUGGGUUGUUUUCAAAUAUUCCUUAUCUACUUCCUGAAACGUGACACCAUACUUCAUGCUGGUUGAUGCUAAAUCAUUUAUCCUGUAUGUCUUCAGAUCUAAGGCAACGUGUUAGUCUUUCAGAUUUUGAAAAGAACUAAAAACGGAUUAAGAUUCGGAUGUUGGGCAUAUAUAUCUGUAUACUUCUAUGCUAAUUCAAAUGUGGGUAUCCAACAUACAUGUAUAUCUACUUUUCCAUUUCUCUUCUUGAUGCCUUGUUGUUGAUGCUGCUGCUGCUGUUGUUAUUAUUAUUAUUAUUUUUGUUAUUAUUAUGGUCGCAGUGGUGGUGGUGGAGGUGGGUGGAGUCUAUCGUCUCUCCACCCCUUCCUAGGGAAACCCACAAAACUUUGCUUUUUGGGGUUGACCAAGCCUUCAUUCUUGGUUCUGGUUAUAUACAUACAUACAAACAUUUUGUAUAUAGAGGAAAAAAGAAAAAGAAAGGAAAAAGAAAGCAACAAUAACAACGAUACCAAAUGAAGCCUUAAGGUUUCAGUAGUAGGUGCAUGGCAUGGUUAUUUUGGAAGGUUCUGAUUUUCUGAGAGCAACCAAUUUUCCAUGUGUUGUUUUGCUUAGACUUGCCGAAAUGGCUGAGAACAAACAAAUUGAAGCUUUCGCUGGGUAUCUUGGGAUGUCAUCAACCAUAAUACUGCUAUGGUAGUGAGACAUCACCAUUUACUCGACCAAAUUGGCCUGCGAGAUGAUUGCAAGUUUUGCAACAAUCAAGAAAGUUUGAGCCAGAAAUUGCCAGUAUUAUAUUUUUGAGGACCAAAUUGUCAUCUGCCUCAUAGUUUGAGCACCAAAAGUGAAAUUUAGCCUCAUUUUGUCUAACAAACCACAGAACAGGCAAUAAUUUUCCUAUUUCACCUACCUGUGGCAGCACUCAAUUGGAACUCAAUUGAAUGGUCUGCUGUUUUGCAGGCAAC
rnacentral:lncRNA from 1 species